rnacentral:lncRNA from 1 species
CCUUAAACUUAGCUUCUUGUCACAAAAGUUUCUCUUUUCAGUUAAUUUUCUUGGUCCAACAUCUAAUCUUUCAAUUUCAUAAGCAUUAGCAUCUUUAGCUGUGGUUAUAACAGUUGUAUGCUAACAACCUCUGCCCGUCACAUUCUAUUAAAAAUUUUAAAGAUCUCAAUUUUACCCUUUUUGGUUUUCGUUCUGUAGAGCACAUAGAUAUUUGAAUAUUUAAGCAAAAAAAGAAAAAAGAAAAUUAGAAUAGAGUUUUAUCAUGUCAAUUGAAUCAAAAUUGAUGAGCAUGUAAGUAAAGCAGAACUUUUCUUUUUCAUUCUAUUAACAUUAACCUAUAUGCUAAAAGUUUGUAGUAUUUCAUGUUACAAAUUAUAAUCUUGCAUUAACAAAAACUAGAGAAACAAAAAAAAAAGAAAAAAAAAUUCCUUAUACGUACCAAAAUAAUGGUGAAAGGCAAAAAUUCUUCCCAAUGCCAAAAUAAUAAUAAGGCUAACUAUUUUUCAACUUGUCAUUGAUCAAGUGUUUUCUCAACAGUCGCAGCAAGAGAAAAUGAUAACUUAAAUAAGAAAAUAAGGAUAAAGUAGACUAUGUGAUUAUCAUGACUUAUCUUUCCUAAUAUCAUAAGUCAAACAUGUGCAUUAAAGAGUCAAUAUCUAAUCAUUAUCUCCAAAUAAAAAUUGCAAAAAGUUUACAUUCCAAUAUAAAUAUAAACUAAUUAUAUUGCAAAAAGUUUACACUUGUUGAGUUUCAUGUGUUGGUAACUAUUGCAAAAAGUUUAAGGCAUAAUAAAAACUUCACUUACUGGAAAAGAAAACUUCCUCUCUUAUUUUCACUUAUUGACAAAGAAAAUAAGCAAAUCGGUUCGAUCAAAUAAUUUAAUAAGCAAUAUAGGUAACACAGAGAUAAAUUAUUGUGAUUAUAAUCCCGCCUCAUUAAACUCAAUUUGUCAACCAAAAUCGAUUCGAUCAAACAAUUUAGUAAACAAAUCUAAGCCAACCAAUGGAAAUCAUCAUACCUACAUCACUAUAUGAGCAUUUUUAAAACACAGUUUAUGCUAUGUUCUAUAUGAAAUCUAAAAUUCUAUUACCGAAACAAAUAAUACCACUAAAAGUUAAUCAAUGUUAUUGAUUAAUGACAUAUCAUUGCAUGUAUGACUUAACAAAAACUAGAUCAGCGACAUGAAUAUUAUUAGUGUUUAAUUUUCAAAAAAAAUUAGAGUAUAAAACAUUACCUUGGAUGAUUCGAAAUCAACCAAAGAGAAUUUAGCAGCAUGGGUAGUGAUUCCGAAGAGCUCUGAUUGAGGCUAGUUCAUGUAUUCUCUUUUCGCUGGCACCGGUGACUUCUUCCAUAUGAAGAAAUCGAGCAAUGAUUUUGGGAUUUCACGAAUUAGAUUUUGGGAUUUCACUGGUUAGGGUUGAUGAACUUGGAAUUCGAUACCAUUAGGUCCCUUUUAUAUAUGGUACAAUCGUAAUAUUUUAUAUUGCUUAAGGGCAUUUUUGGUAUUUAAAGGAGUGGGAGUGGGAAUCUCACUCCCCACUCCAAAAUUGAGUGGGCCCCAUGGAGUGGGAAUCCCACUCCCCCUUCAAAACUUGCAAGUAAAUACUGGAGUGGGAGGAAUUCACACUCCUCACUUCCACUCCAGAAAGUAAACACAGCCUGAGUGUUUAGUUUGUAAAAUGUGAAAAUAGAGAGAACAUAUGCAAUUGUAAUGGAGAGAGAGAAAGAAAUUAGUGAAAUGUAAUUUUGAUUUUUAAAUUUUUAAUUGUUAUUAGUGAAAUUAUUUUUUAAAAUGGGUGUAAAGAAAAAUUUAGUGGAUUCAAAUAUUCUUAUUCUAAAAACUAUACUUGCGAAGUAAAAACUCGUGAAUAUACAGUAAAUAAUAAUAUUUUUGCUAAUUUACAAUAAGGAAGAUGGAAGUAUUAAUGAGCCACAUUUUUAAGGGAUGUUGCUUCACCGUCUUAAUCCACCAAUGUGGAUUGAAUAAAAUUUUUAACAUUUUCAAUCUUGGCUUUCUGAUGUACUGGAAACAACGGUUAUGGGUUCAAUGGUUAAUAGAGGGUGAUUCGAAUAUGCGUUUCUUUCAUGCUUGAGCCUCUGCAAGGAAAAGACAAAACGCUUUUAGGGGUUUGAAAGAUAAUGAGGAGAACUAGGUUACUAAUUUAAGGGGGAUGAAAGAUAUUAUUUGUACCUAUUACUCUGACUUGUUUUCUUCCUUAUGUCCUAGUCACACUUAAAUGGCAGCGGCUGUUUAGCAUCUUAACCUGCUCAUGUAUGAUGCUAUGAAUGAUUAAUUAAAUAAGCUUUUCGGUUUGGUUCGAUUCGGGUUCGUAAUUCGGAUUGGAUUGGGUUGGUAAUUCGGGUUAAAAUUUCGAUUCAGGUUAAUUUAGAUUAGUUUGGGUUAGAAUAAUUCAAUCUAAAAAUUCAGGUUAAUUCGAGUUAGAACAAGUUGGAACAAUUUAAACAAAAAAUUCUACCAAAAACCACUUAAAAUUCAAAAAUCUUCAAUCCAAAUAUCCUCAACAACAAAAAGCAUCCUCAACAAUAUUUCAACAAGUCCUUUUAAAGUUAAUGGAACAUAAAACAUGUAGUUAAGUACAAUGAAAGUACAAAAAUUACAAAUCUAAAAAUUAAAAUGGCAAAUGGCAAUCAUGAUUAAACAUCUCCACAUGACAAACAAUGCUAAUAAUCCAUCUCCAACACCAUCAAUACUCAUCCCAACACCUCCAAAUUAGCAAUAAUUAACCAACAUUGUAGCAAAAUAUCGAGCAACAACAAAUAAAAAAUAAAGCAAAUCAGUCCAUUCCACAGAAAAAAUUAAAAAAUUAAUCAACAUUUAGUGGAAUCACUCAAUAUGCCUUAACAGUUCUUAAUAUUAUUAGUAGCAUGUUUGUAUUAUACUACGCCCUAAUUGUGUAAUUGAUUAUUAUGCAAUUCUCAAUAUUACUAGUAUCAUGUUUGUAUUAUGACUACGCCUUAAUUUUAUAAUUGAUUAUUAUGCUUGAUCCAAAUCAAUAUAUAUAGUUACAUACUUACUGUUGCAACAAAAAAUCUUUAUAUUAGAACACUUGGAUGGUCCGCUUGUGUCGAUUUAUGAAGUUCUACAUGAAAUAAAAAGACUUGAAGUAAAUAACUCUUAAAGUAAACAAAUCUUAAAAAUAAAUAAGUAAAUAAGUAACCACUAAUAUUUAUUCCUUCUGUAAGAGCAUUUAUAAACUCGUUUUCCUCAACCAAUGCUUGGAGGUUUGUUGUUGAAUCAACAAAAAGUGAAGAUCGCAACCAAUUUUGCAUCAGUAUCAAUGCUUCCACCAUAUUAGGAGUCAUAGAACUCCUAUAUUAAUCUAAAAUACGACCUCCCGUGCUAAAAGUGGACUCAUAUGCAACUGUAGAUAAUGGAAUGGCAAACACAUCUCUUGCUAUAUGCGACAAAACUGGGUAUUUUAAACUAUUAACUUUCCACCAUAACAAAAUAUCAAAUGGAGCACCCAAUGCAUUAGGCGCUUGAUAUUCAACCGACUUCAUCAAGUAAAGAUCUAGCUCAUUUGACAAUUCUAUAUGAUCUCUAAUGACAGCAACCAUCUCGGUGUAUUUGGAGAAAAGGGUCCUCAAAUACGUCAUUGUCUUCAUCUAUAAAAGUCAGCCUACUAUUAACACUAACACCAGCACUUGCACUUGGAAACGCACUUGCACUUGCACUUGCACUUGCACUUACACUAGCACAUGGUUUUAAGUGUUGAGCACUGUAUGCUUUAAAAAGCUUGUUUAGCACAUCUUUCGCCACAUUUUUCAUCUCAACACAUUUUACAUUAUCCUUACCAUAUAAAGUCUCAAAACAAAGUGUUGUAAAAUUCAUUUUCUCCCAUGGAUCUAAUACAGAAGCAACGAUCAAUAACUUGUUUAUCUUUGAAGGCCCCUCCCAAUACUCCUCAAAUUUCUCCUUUAUGCUACUUGUUAUCAUACUAAUGUACGGGUCAAGGUUGUCCACCAUUGUAUUCAGAGCUUUUUCAACUUUGCAUAUCUCAUUGUAGCCAUAUUAGAUGUCACCCUCAGAGAAGAAGAAAAUGCAAGUGUGGCAUCAUAAAAAAUCCACAAAAACCUGAUCAUUCGACGAGCAUUAUCCCAAUCUUAACUUCCUAGUGGUCCCACCAUUUUCUUCCCACAUUCUUCUUCACGAAAAUAAGCAUCAUAAAGCUUAUCCUCAUUUGUCAUUCGAUUAAAUGUCGAUCUAAACUUCAAUGCUGUCGUCAACAUGGUAUAUGCGAAAUUCCACCUAGUUGGACGAUCUAAAACCACACUUCCUCUAAAAGGCUAACAAUUCUUCCCCAAAAUAUUUUAUUACUCUACACAAAUUUGAAAUGCUUUCAAUCUCACAGUAGAUAAUCUCACAUACUUCAUAGCAUUGCGGAUACUAAUAAUAUUAUCAUCUAGUUUUUUCAACCCCUCAUUAACAGUAAGAUUCAUAAUAUGUGUGCAACACACAUGCAUAGAGUCAUCAUUCAACACCAAUGCAUCAUCUCUCCAAGUCUUCAAUUUAUUCGUCAAAUAGCUAAUGGCAACCUUAUUUGCACUUGCAUUGUCCACGACGACUAUGAACACCCUCUCUAUACCCUAGUCAAGCAAACAUUUCUCGACCUGCUUACCAAUCGUCUCCCUUUUAUGUUCAAAAAUUGUGUUAAAAUUGAUGAUAUUCUUGCAUAACUGCCAAUCUUGGUCAAUAAAGUGAGCUGUUAUUACCAUAUAACUAGUCGUCGUGAUGGAAGUCCAAAUAUCCGCAGUGAGCGAGACUAUUUGCUUCUUAUCACAUAAUAAACUCUUCAACAAAACGUUUUCAACUAGAAAUAAGUCAAGGAUAUCCUUAGUAAUGGUUCUACGAGAUGGUCACAAAUCUAAGACAGAUAACACUAGAAAAAUGUCUGAAUCUAGAAUUCUCCACAUGUGAAAAUAGCAACUCAUCAAAAAUAAUCAUUUUAGUUGUUGCCCUUCUAAUAGCCUCCUGAUUAAAUUCCCUAACCACAACUUGACCAAUCUUUUCAUUACCGGCACCAGUAGGUUCUUGAGUUAAAACUGCUUGAUUUUGUAGAUAACUUUCAUAUUUAAAACAUAUUUUCAAGUGAUUCGAUAAAUUGCUAGUCUCAUCAGUAGAUUUACAUGAAUAUUCUUGGCUGCAAUAAUUGCACUUACACCAAUUAUAAUAUUUUGGCAAUUUAGUGAAAUCCUUACACCGAUUACAACGUUCAAUCACUUUUCUUGACUGAGGUGGUUUUGAUGAUGUCCUUGAUGACCUAUUCCUCUUCGACCCGAAUUGGGCUUUCAUAAUCAUUGGUGACAUAUCACUAACUUCAUUAGAUUCAGUGGAUUGGAUGUUGUCACGAACUCUUGAUUCAUCUGUCUCAAACAUCUGAAUCAUAAAUCCAUAGCAUGAUUGUAUCAGUGAUCAAAGUCAAUCGAUAGCAUAAACAUAACAAAACAAAGAAAUCUAGAAUAAAACAUCACAAUUUAAUAUAAUAAUAAUAAUUUAUUGUGUAUUUGGACACUCUAGCCAAUGCGAAUCCUAUUUCGACACCCAAAUAUGAUUUUGCAAUAAAAAAUGAGUUCACAUUACAAAAACUCAUAAUUUCAUAAUGUUAUAUAUCCUAAACUAAACAAAUAUCACAAUUUAAUUAACAACAACAACAACAACAUUUGGGAAUUAAUAUAACUUUGCCGAACAAUAAUUAAGUUAAACAAACAAUAAUAAUAAUAGUAAUAAUAACUACGAAUCAGCAUUCAGUAAAUUGCCAUAUUCUAAAUAUUAAAAAACAAGUUAAUUAAUUAACAAUCUUCAAUUUAAUUAAUAAUAACAACAACAAACCCACUCCAAUUUAAUUAAUAACAAUCUCCAAUUGUUCAAUUAUCAGUCAACAACAACAAAUCCACUCCAAUUUAAUUAAUAACAGUCUCCAAUUGUUCAAUUAUCAGUUAACAGCAACAAACGUUACAAACCCACUCCAAUUUAAUUAAAAACAAUCUCCAAUUGUUUAAUUAUCAAUCAACAGCAACAAACCCUCGCCAAAUAAUUGAACAAUUGUUAAUUAAUUAAUUAACAAUCUCCAAUUUAAUUUAUAACAACAGUCAUCAGCAAGUCAGCAACAAACCCACUCCAAAAUCCAAAUAUCAGCACCUAGUAUGGACUAAACUACAAACCUUGAUCGAUGGGAAGCUACAGCGUCGGCAAAGCAUGACUGUGUGGGGCUGAGUGAGACGCGAGGUAAACGGCAUGGCGCGGCUGCGGGCGACUUGAUUAUUGAAGGCGUGCUAGCUGACGACGAGUGGGUUGCGGUGAACGGCUGUAAUAGGGCGUCUUCUGGAGCUGGACAGUUGCAGGCAGUGGGCUUCCUGUUGCCGUCGUCGUGGCCUCAUCUUUACUGUUUAGGGAUUUGCUUUCGAGGCUUGCUGCUAGUUAACGAGACCGAGAGUGUGAGAAGUGAGAAUAGGGAGGUAAUGAGAGUGUGAGACAGUGAGAAAUAAGAGAUUUUUUUUUGUUUAAUACAUAUGUAUUUUUUAAUUUUUAAAAGCCAAAACUUAAAAAAAAAAUUCAACCCGUUUGGAUUAAAAUUCGAUUCGGGUUCUGAACGGAUUGAUAGUUUGAAUUUGUUCGGGUUGCAAAAGUUAACUCGAUCCGAAUGCCUGUCCCUACUUACAUGAGCCCAUGCAGGGGUUGCAAGUCCUAGCUUGGCUCAUGUGCACCCACGUCUGCGCACAUGAAACUAUGCCAUACAUGACAAUAUGUAGCGAAUCGGUUGUAAUGACUAUUUAGUGCAGGCCUCCUGCUCAAUUGUUUACAAUUAUUAUUUUAAUUACAAAUUUGUAUAUUUCUAAUACUAAAAGUGAGUAGAAAUACGAUAAGAUAAGGGUGGUGUUAAUUAUUUGAAUCCAAAGCUUUCAAGAGAUACCUUCAAUCGAAGCACAAUCAAUCUAAACGUAAAACUUAACUAUCAGUUUGCAAUCAAUAUGUAGGGCAAAGCUACAUUGCAACAUUCAUUUGGUAGCCCUCUCUUUUGUCUUUUUAAAGGUCAAUUAUAAUAGUGUCCUGGUAUUUGUUAUAAAAAUGAAAAUGUUGAAAAUUUUUAAAAUUUUACGCAUUAGUCCUACACCAACACAGUAUCAUUUUUCUCAUCCAUUUUGCACCAUCAAUGACAUCAUUUUUCUCACCCAUUUUAAUUAAAAGGUAAUUAAAAUUAUUUUCCAUAUAGAAACAGAAUAAUAAAAUAAAUUUUUUAUUCUUAUUUUUUAAUUAAUUAUAAAAAGAUAUUUUGUAUUAAAACAAUCACUAGUGACUACUGUUUCUUCGCGUGCAAUGAUAUUUUUAAUCGAAAGGGGACAUGAAGGGUUCCAUUAUAUUUGAAAUUGGAUGAUUUACAUAAAGAUAGUCUCAAUGCUAGCAAAUGGUGAUAUGUAAAGUUGCAUGCUCCUUCUAAAAUAACUGCAACAAUAACUAUACCACAAAAACACAAGGAGUUACAUUACACUACCACCUUUUCUUUUCUUUUCUUUUUUCUUUUUUCUUUUUUCAAAUUUAGAGACCUUUAAUUUGGUUGUUAAAGGCAAUGAACCUUAAAACGUGAUGUAGGAAGCAUAUUAGAUAAAAUGAAUUAGAAUUUACUAGAAAUUAUAAUAUUUGGGUCAAUUUAAAAUUUAAUAUUUUAUUAAAAUUUAUCUUAUUUAUUAAGCUUACUUGAGUCAUAUUUGUAAUUCUAACCUAAUUAGGAUUUCAGAUUAUUUCUCUUAUUUGAGAAAGAUUAGCUACUAUUAUAUAUAUAAACUUGUUAUUCUUAAUUUAUGAUAACAGACACAAACUUCUUAUUAAUAAUUUUUAAUUUUUUCAUAAUUGAGAUAUCUUCUCCUUGGUGAGAGCAUCUUUUUAAAGUUUUCAAGACAUAAAUCAUAUUAGAGCUUUUUUCUGCACUAGGCAGAGCAUUCUCGACCACCAACUUCGUACAUUAGUUCCAUCAAGUUAAAAAAAAAAACCCAACAAAACCCGAAGCUACCAUCACAUCCGUGCCACACGGCUGCCGCCGCCACUGGUUUCUCUUCUUUUUGGUCGAUCCUCUCUCCCAUCCAAAAGCCCUCACGUCGCCAAUCAUAACCCAACCCAUAACACCACCAUCCCGUCACCGUAGCCACGGGAAACUAGCCAAAACAGCCGCUGAACCACCACGAAAAUCCACCUCUCUAUUCGCUGCAAUCCGUUACGAUUCACAGCCUCCACCACCACCCAUUCGUCCACGAUCAUCAGCUCUUUCUUUUCAACCCACUCACGCUGCCAACCCUCGGCCGGAUCGCCAGAAACUGAAACCAACCUCCACCCACUACUUUAACUCAACUUUUCAGUCAAAUCACAACUAUUUGAGACAAAUCACCACCAGCAUCACACUCAACACCAUCAAAUCUUCUAGAUCCACCUAUCCUAGGCCAAAUUUUCGACCAUCGUCGCUGGCAACACCAACUUUUGCCUAUUUAUAAUUUUGCCCCUUUACUUUUCUAUACUUAUACUAUUACCUAUAAUUUUCUGUUCUUUAAAAAACACCCAAAAACCAAACAAACUUAUAAAAAAUAAAUAAAUUAGAAUUUAAUAGGAAUUAUAAUAUUUGGGUCAAUUUAAAAUUCAAUAUUUUAUUAGGAUUUAUCUUAUUUUAUUAAGCUUACUUGAGUCAUUUGUAAUUCUAAUCUAAUUAGGAUUUUAGAUUAUUUCUCUUAUUUGAGAAAGAUAAGGAUUAAUUUAGCGACUAUUAUGUAUAUAGGUUUUUUAUUCUUAAUUUAUGAUAACAGACACAAGCUUCUCAUUAAUAAUAUUCAAUUUUUUCUCAAUUAAAAUAUCUUCUCUUUGAUGAGAGUCUCUUUCUUGAGUUUUCAAGACGUAUGAUAGAACGAAAUCUGGUAUCACUUCCGCCCUGCAUUAAAACGUCAACUAAUCAUAGGGUUUUAUUAUAGUUGUUUGCAUUGGAAGGCUCAUCUAUCACCGACAUAUCUAUUUAUCCGGCAACAUUGCCACCAUUACAUUGAUCGGAGAAUUUUGAAUACGUCGAUAGUUUUUGUUUUUAUGUUCACUCACGUCUAUUUCUUAGUGAUGAUACCGUCAUUGUUGUCAUUGGUGGUGCAAUAAUUUUUAGCAAUAUUAUUUUGAUUUUUCAUUUGAUUUACAAAACUUAAAUAUUAAAUAUAAUACUCAAUUUUAGUCUCAUACACUUAAAUAUUACUAAUAUUCAAGUUCGUGGUGGAUAUUGAAUAAAUCAAAUUCAGAGUAUUUUAGAUGGAUAUUAUCCAAUCUAUUCAGAUCAGAUACUUAGACAUCCAACUUGAAUGGAUUUGUUUGCUCUUUCUAGCUGUUAACUUGAUUAAUAAUUCUAUUGGGUUUGGUUUUAAAACUCCUAAUAUGAUAACUCAUUCAUGACACAAUUAAUUUAGAUAUGUGUUGAAUUGCCAUCUCUAUUGUUAUCCAUGUGUGAUGUUAGCAAGAAAGAAGAAAGAAUAGAAAAUACUUAUUUUUAGUUUAUUUUUUUAAAGAAAUAUUUAAAUUAUUUUCAAAUAAAGUAAUUGUUUAGAAUUUUUUUACCCUUCUCUCCAAUAAGUUAAUGACUAUUUAAACAGUUGGGGUGGAGUAACAAAUACCAAUUUAUUUAAGCGUGCAAUUAAAUUAUUAUUAUUUAUUUAAGGACAAAAACUUAUUGUUAAAAAAAGAUUUUACAAGUUAAUAAACUAACAUUUUAUUAUUAUUAGUAAAUUAACAUAUUUUUAGAUUUUACAAGUUAAUAAACUAGCAUUUUAUUAUUAUUAGUAAAUUAACAUAUUUUUACUAUAUAAUUAAAUAGUUGAUAGUAUGUUUAAUAAAUAUUAUGUUACAAAAAAAAUAACUACAUAGAAUAUGAAAUUAAAUUUAUUUUUGUAUAUUGUAUAUUUCAUCUACUUGAGAUAAUAAAAUCUCUUGUGUUGAAAAACAAAAUUAUGGGUUUUGAACCUUGUUCACAUAGGUGAGAGAUAAUUGGUUGCCAUUAUGUUAAAUUAAAAAAAAAAGAUCAUAUUUAUACUUAUCACUAAUUAUGGUUAGUAAAUAAUAUACAUGCAUUGUUUAACUAUAUAACAAAGUAGUUAAUUUAUUAAUUAAUAAAUUAAUUUAAAUAGAUAUUAAUAAGUGUAAGAAUAAGUCAUUUAAUUGGAAACCUAUUUCAAUGGAGUUUUAAAAAAAAAAGAGAAUAUUAUGGACUUAUAUGUUAUAAUUUCAAAACUUUUGAUUAUUUUUAUUUUGCAUGAACAAUAAGGGUCUUUGAUGUUAAUAACCCAAUAAUCACAUCUCAGCCAUUAUGCAAUUCUUAGGUUAAAUCCAACGGUACGUUUGAAAAAGACAAAAAAUAGGGUACCAAACCCCAUGGGUAUUGUAGCUGGACCCUUUAUUUAUUUAUUUUUUCAAUUGAAAGAGUUUUGUUUUCUUUUUCUUAAGGGCAAAUGCUAUGUUACAAUUAAUGUAACAUACACACUCAACAAUAACCACACAAAUUGUGUGGGCCCAUUAUUUGUGUGGUUGUUGUUGAGUGUGUAUGUUACAUUAAUUGUAACAUAGGGACUCCCUUUCUUAAGUGCUCGGUAAUGCUAAGCAACUUGCAUUUCCAACACCAAUCUUUUUUUUUAUAUAUACAAAAUGACCCUUUUUUUUUUCCAAAAAAAUUAAGGAGAUAUACGGAUUUGAAAAUCUGAUUGGGUAGUUGUUUGAAUGAUGUGGAAAGUAAAAUGUAAUCAAGAAUUUCUGGAAAAGAGUAUUUUAUUUUUAUUUUUUUCAAUUGAAAGAGUUUUGUUUUCUUUUUCUUAAGUGCUCGGUAAUGCUAAGCAACUUGUAGUUCCUACACCAAUCUUUUUUUUUUCUUUUUGAUACAAAAUGACCCAUUUACAUUAAAAAAAAUUCUUUUAAAAAAAACUUAUCACUUUUCGAAAUAUAAUGAUAAGAAGAGCUGCGGAUAAUAAUAAUCCACAUAAAAGAGUUGCAUCGCCCAAUUCCAUCAUACUUACGUGCAUUAAAGAACCUGAAGUUGCAAAGCCUUGGGUAAAAAAAAAACACUUGGUGCCGUUAUAACGCUAAAAUGAUUUUGAUUAUUUUUAAAAUAAAAAUUCUAUGAAUAAUAGAUACACUCCAUGAAAGAUAGAUGCAACUUGCAGUUUCAAAACCAAUAUUAUUUUUAUAAUCAAAGAUCUAUUGAUAUUUACAAUCAGAAUUCUAUCAAGACUAUCAUUACAAUUUAAUUUUGGCACCAUCCAAAAUUUUACAAUCAUAAUUCUAUUUGGACUAUUGGCACAAUCCACAUUUCUACCAUCUCAUAAUACUGGAUGAAUAUCUACUCUGCCAUAAUUUAUAGAGAGGCAAUCUUACCUCUACCCAAUUUUUGUAGGAGCCCAAACCCUCAAGGUGCACUCAAGCCUUGUGUAUGGGCUGUGCCAAUGAGCCACAAGCCCAUUGGCGUUUCAACACCAAUCUUGUUUUCAUUUGGAAGAGGUUCAUAUCGAUGUUGGAUUAGGUCUCACGUCUCGACUCAAGAAUUUUCUUUUAAUUAUUUAUUUCACGCAUGGAUCGAUACAUAUAUAUGCUCCAUGUUACUUAUGACCAUUGUUCUCGAUCAAGUAAUUACUGAUCCUAUCAAAAAAAUUAAUUAAUUAAUGAUACUUCAUGCAGAUGCAUGCGGCAUAAUGAUAGACAGUUUUCAAGAGCACGUGAAUUCUUUUAUUAAUACAAAAUGUUUGACAUCUUAAACGAUAAUAGACAAACAAAUGCAAUUGAAUACACAAAAGUACAAAUGGAAUUUGAAAAGAAGGAAACGAAAAUGAAAGGAAAAAAAAACACAUAAAAAACUGCGAAGCAUCCACGUUUGCAUGCCCUCAAGUCUACAACAUAAAGCCUUGUUCGGGCUAGAAAGCCACCAUAUUUUAUGCAUUGGCGGCCUUCGUAUGAAUAGUGACUUUUUUAGUAAAUCUUAGGAGGUGGGGGAGAGUUGUAGUAAUAAACAUGAGGAGGCGAAGGUGUAGGUGGUGGUGGUGAUUUGUAGUAGUAAGCAGGCGGAGGUGACGGUGAAGGUGGUGGCGGAGAUUUAUAGAUGUAAGGUGGAGGUGGCGAUGGCGAAGGUGGUGGAGGGGACUUGUAAAUGUAAGGGGGAGGGGGAGGGGGAGAUGGCGGUGGUGGUGGGGGUGAGUUGUAGAUAUAUGGCGGAGGAGGAGAUGGAGACGAAAGGGGUGGAGAUUUGUAAACAUAAGGAGGCGGGGUUGAUGGGAAAGGUGGAGGUGGAGAGUUGUAUACAUAUGGAGGAGGUGGUGACGUUAAGGGAGGUGGAGGGGACUGGUAGAAGUAUGGAGGAGGUGGCGAUGGUGACGGAGGUGGCGGGGAUUGAUAAAUGUAUGGAGGAGGUGGCGAUGGUGAUGCAGGUGGCGGGGACUGGUAGACAUAUGGAGGAGGUGGCGAUGGCGAUGGAGAUGGGGGAGAUUGGUAGAUAUAUGGAGGAGGUGGCGAUGGGGAUGGUGGUGGCGGUGAUUUGUAAUUGUAAGGUGGAGGUGGUGAUGGAGACGGGGGUGGUGGGGACUGGUUAACAUAAGGUGGAGGAGGUGGUGAGGAAGGAGGAGGAGGCGAUUUGUAGAUAUAUGGUGGAGGUGGUGACGGAGAUGGUGGUGGUGGAGAUGUGUAGACAUAAGGAGGUGGAGGUGGAGGUGAUGGUGAGGGUGAUGGUGGGGAUUUAUAUACAUAAGGUGGGGGUGGUGAUGGUGAUGGUGGUGGAGGAGAUGGAGAAGGUGGUGAUGGAGACUUGUAGAUGUAUGGAGGAGGUGGAGGAGAUGGAGAAGGUGGUGGUGGGGACUUGUAGACAUAAGGCGGAGGAGGAGAUGGUGAAGGUGGUGGUGGGGACUUGUAAUCACAAGGUGGAGUAGGUGAUGCAUGGGACGGAGGUGGCGGUGAUUUAUAGAUAUAUGAUGGAGGUUGGGGUGAUUUGUAAUAGUAUGUAGACGGAGGGGAAGACUUGUAAUGGUAGGGAUUUGGUGACCUGUAAAUGUAGGGUGGCGGAGGUGGUGAAGCAUAAGUGUAUGGCUUGUAGUCAGCUGCCACAUGAGUUGCCAACAAACAUAAUGCCAAAGCAAAAACUAGAUGGGGCCAAAUAUUGGCCAUUUUUGGCUGAAUUUGAUCACUCGAAAAUCCCAACGAAAGAGUUGGGGUCUUUAUGGCGUGGAGAUUAGAGGCAGAUCAGUUUUUAUUAGGAUGAGUACAAUAGAGAAGCGUGCUGUUUAUAUAGUGAUAGUUUCGAGCUUUAAAGCCAUUUUUUAAUGAAGCAUGGAGCUUCCUCCAUACACGUCUAAUAUUUUUGUACCUUUUUUUAUUUAUUAUAUAUAUCAAGUGUAUUGACAUAAUGGGAUCCCACCAAGCCUUUGCAUGUCUCUUUUGUGCAAACACCUUGAAAUCGUCAAGUUUAUAUUCUAGAAGUCAUAACGAAUUAAUUAAAAAGUAGGUAAAAAUUUCAUCCAAUUAUUGAGCAAAUUGCAAGAACAAGGGGUUCUUGAGAAACUUUCCAUCGUCAGUUGGUAGCUCAUAAAAUUGGCUGGUCAUUUAAAACCAAUUGAGCCAUCUGAUCAUUUCUUAUUAAAUUAUGCAGAACAAUUAUCAUUUCACCGUCCCCAAAUAUUAGGGAAUGACUGCAAGAGAAAGGCACUUGCCCACACUUCUGCCAUUUACAUAAUAUUGUUUCUCGACUUUUCUCGUUUCUCUUGUUUGUUUUUGUUUGUUUUGUUUUGUUGGCUUUUAUUUUUUCAUGGCUUAGACGCUUUGGUUUAUAUUUCUCUCCAUUUUUCUUUGCAUUGAUUUAUUUUUCAGGUAGAGGUCUCAUCUAAUUCCUCACUUUAUCAGUGGUUUUAAUUAAAAAAAAGGAAAAGAAAAUCCUUUCGUUUAAUUUAGAUUAAAGCUAAAAUUUUAUAUAUGUUUACAUAGAAUGUUUGUUUACAUUAUAGCUGAAAAAAAUAAAAAAAUCUGAGCCAGGUUAAAACUAUACUUAUAGACGUGGAGAGAAGAUUUAGUUACCAAUUACGCGAAACAAAAUAUAAAAGUAAAUAAAAAAAUCGUACAUGAAAACGCGUGUCAAUAAUAUGACCUUCUGGUUAACAGCCAAGUUCCUCUUUGUUAUAUGUAUUUUAAUUUCCUACUAAAGCUUCUUUAGAUACUUUUACUCAAAGAUCAAGACAUCACAUGUAUAUUUGGUGAAAGUUACAAGCAGGAAUAUUCAGGAUAGAUAAUUUUAUUAUACAUAUGUCCAAAGUUAUUUAAUAAGGGAUCUGAAGUGAAACAGUCAAAAGCAUCUUCUAAUUUGUUGCAGUAUAUAUAUACAUAAAGCUAAUGUCAAUGUGUUUGUUCUCUUUCUAUUUUUUUUUUCUUUUUUAAAUGAUGAGAUGACUGCUGAUUAAGAUGAGAAGUUUAAAUUCGUGAACUACAGGAGAACUCCUAUAAACAAAUGGUUGACGAGUAAUUAAUUCACUUAAACAAUAAAUAAAAUCUUUCGAUUUUAAUUUGGGGUUGUAUAUUAAAUUAAUAAUUUUUCAAAUUCUUUAGGCCCAACGAAUAUAUAAAUUAAUUGUUAACUAAAUACAUUAAACAAACAAGUGUAAAAGGUCCUCAACAAUUUAUAUGAAUUUUAUUAUUGACCCAAGGAGUUUUAUAAACCUUGAUUUUGACGGUAACAAUAACAAAUAAUAUGGUAAGGGAAAUAACGAAAAAAAAAACACUUUUAGAUCUCAUUAGUUCUUGAAUGUCAAAAUCCAUUCAUGUAAAAUCAAGUUCAAAGAAGUCACGGACAUGCUCAUCAAGACAAAACUCGAAUGUGAAGAACACUAGCUUAAGUGAUAUUUCAUUUACAUAAUUAUUGUAAAGCUAGUUUGUUGGAUUUAUGCAUUAUUAAGUAUUUAAAGCUCAAAUCUGAUAAUAAUCAUCACAUCCAAAUCUGUCUUUUCUUUAUAAGUUAUAUUUUCUAUACUUGAAGAAAAUCAAAAGCUAAAUGUUUUAUCAAAAUUAAUUUCUUCGAGGUAUAAGGAUUUAUUUGAAAAUUCUUUAAAAAAAAUUAUGUAUCAAAAAAGCUAGAGAAUGCUAUUUCUUCAAAUCUUGAAAAAGAUCUAUUUGAUAAUACUUCAAAACUUUUUGGGCACUGUUGUCAUCAUAGAAAAAAUUUGGGAACAACAUGGACCAGAAUGCUGAACUUUUAAAAUUGGGAAAAGCCCAAAGCCAGCCGAUUAUAGAGCAGCUAACCGGUUUAUUUUAUAGAGACAAACCAGAGAUCUGUUAGACCUAGUUUGUUUAAAAGCCCCCAACGCAACUUAUCAUAUCAGCAAAGUGGUUUGCCCAUUGUACAUAGAAUUUUUGUUUUAUGUUUCUAACAGUUAGUGCUCUGAAAUUACCCUAUAAAUCAAACUCCAAAUCAUUUUUCAAGAUUGGUUUGAGUUAAAACCUAAUAUUUCUGAAUACUCCUGAGCGUUUACUUGCUUGCCUGUAUAAAUUUAUACAUACUUGAGUUAUCACUUGCUUAUCUAUUAUAUAUUUUUGUGAGGAGUGUGUUCUUUGUAAGGUUCAUUUUAAUUUUUCAAUUGAGUGAUAGUAAGUGUGAGAAACACUUGUUGAAGAGAUAAGGAAUAUAUAUUUCGAAUUUAUAACAAUUCAUUGACGCCUUUAGAAUCAAUUGCACUCAUUUUUUUAGCCUCGGGAUAUGUGGCUUAAUGUAAGUGGAAUUCUCAAGUUUGAAUUGUUUGGAGGCGGGGACGUAGACGGUUUGUCAAAUCAUGUAAAAAUUGUUAUGUUUCCUUUUUCUAUCCUUACCUCUUUAAUUUAUUUGUUGUGUUUGUUGUUGUUAGAUUGUGAUUUUUAUUGUUGGAAAAAUUUUUAAACCCAAUUCACCUAUCAUCUUGGGUUGUUGUUAGGUAAAUUUUCAAUUACAAUAUUGUACAUACAUUAAAUAACUUUAUUUAACUGGUUAUUCAAGUUCCAAAAAAAUUGAUUUGAGCUUUACUUACCCCUCUACCUCUUUAAAAAUUAAAUAAAUAAGUUAUAAACAAGUUGUAAUCUAAACUACAUAUAAAAAAUAUUUAUAGGUAUUAUUCGAAUGGUUAAGGCAGGUGCCGGGUUGUACGUGUACCCCUUGAUUUGUUAGCCAAAAUCAUAUGGCUGAAAUGUGUUGUGUUGAUGAUAAUUUGCUGAAUAUUCUUUCAAAUUAAUAAUAUUUAUUGAUAGAUAAAUUGAAUAAAUUUAUCUGUGAAAAUCCCUCUAAAAAAAUUAUUUUGCUUAGUCCGACGAAGUUGUUCUGUAAUUAUAAGUUAUAUACUCUCUUUCACUUUAUUUAGAAGUAAACACAAAUUAAGAAUUAGGACUCUCUCCUAAACUGAUAUUUUUCUGAGCAAAUUUUAUUAACAUGAUUGGUAGUUAAUAAAUUAAAAAGUAAAUAUAGUUAAAUUAUAAUCACACACUUACACUAAAAUACAAGUUGUACAAGAUUUGUAAAAAAUUAGAAGAGAAUCCUAGUCCCACAAAUUAAAAGAGCCUAAUGCAUUAGUCUAUGUGAAGAAUCAAUCAUUUUAGGGGAAAAAACAAAAAAGGGAAAGAGAAAAGUUUCGGUCAAAGCUUUUAAUAUUCUCUCUUAACUACCCUGCUUUGCAAGAGGGAAAAAAAAUGGGAAGAGAGAAAAUAACUAUGAGAUGGGAAAAAAAUUAUGAACGAAAGAGUUAUUACACUUUAAAUAGAAAGCUAGCUAGCAUAGUGCUGAUGCAAAGACUAGAUGAGGCCAAAUGUUGGCCAUUUUGGAGUUCUUGUUGUCACAGACCGCUCAAAUUUGCCACUAAUGGAGGCUAAUUCCGCGCGCAUGGGUACACUUAGCAAAAGUCCGCCUAAAAGUGGAGUGCGCUUAGAAGCACGGUGUGCUUAGCACAAAAGGCAGGAUGCACUUAGAAGUGGGAUGCGCUUAGAAAUGGGCCGCCAACACAACUAGCCAACUGUGAUGCGCUUAACGAUCAUCCAAGCCCGGCUCGAAUUUUAGAUUUCUCUACAAUUGUAAAUAAGCUAGAACUUUCUAGGUUUGAGCAUUUAAGCCCUUAGGAUUUUUAUGCAAGUUGUAUGGAAAGUUCAAGAACCUAGCACCCAACACCUAUAAAAAGGGGGUAAGCCCUCCUUAUUUGCUCACCACCACACCACACACACAAGCUCUCUAGCUCUUGUAAAAAGCUCUCUUGUAAUUUAUUCUUUAGUGUGUAAUAAAUUUUAUAUUUGGCCAUAUUGCUCUCUUCUCUCUAGCAUUUUUCACAAGUGCUCUUGCUUUGCUAGUUUGAGAAGAAUCGAAAGGCUUACCUAGCAACUUGUGUGCGAGAAGUCGUCUAAGUGUGGCACGGGUUUGCUGCGCAAAACUCUCGUCCCAUGACAAGUGAUAUCAGAGCUAAGGUUUGCAGACACGCAAAUUAGCUCAACGAGCAAUGGCCAACCCUCCUAGCACAACACAAGAGGGCGUAGUCGAUGUGGAGUCACUUGAGCAAAAUUGUGGCCGUGAGGAGGGACUCAUACAAGUUAAGUCUUGUGGCAAGUCCAAGGCCACUUCCGUGGAUGCCUUGGAGCCUCACGUGGCCACGUUCGAAACCUCUAUGUCUGUUGUCUAGGACACCCUCAAUACUUCGGAGGUGUAGGUCGACGGUCUUAAGGGCGAGUAUGGUGAGUUCACGGUAGCCAUCAAGACCUUCAUGCAAGACUAAGCUGACACUUUCUGAGGGGAGUUUGGAGCAUCACAUGAUGAGCUGCUCAACUUGUGUAGCUUCGUGCAAAGUGAGCUAUGAGCGGUCCGUGCAGAGGUCGAUGAAGUUUGCUCAGACUGGGCUUGGCACAAGUAUACACUCACACCUAGCCCGACUUCCACAAGUACAAGUGAUGCGUACCACAUCAACGUGCCAAAGCUUGACACCUACGAUGGUGCACUCAAUGCCACUAUAGUGGACAACUUCUUAUUUGGACUAGAGCAAUAUUUCGAUGCCAUGGGUGUUUGUAAUGAAACAUUGAAAAUAAGCACUGCACCUACAUUCCUUCAAGGCACCGCGCCUAUAUUCCUUUGAGGCACUGCACAACUAUAGUAGCGGCAGAUGCAUGGCGAGAUAGGCAAAAGCAUAUGCGCCAUCAACACAUGGGUUGAGUUCCAACGCGAACUCUGCGAGUACUUUACCCCAAGCAACCCAGAGAAGAAAGCACGAGCGCGCCUUCAUCAGCUUAAGCAAAUGGGUAGCGUCCACAAUUACUCCGCCCAACCCAAGGAUAAGAGGCCCAGCCAUGGUAAAGGUGGGGGAAAUGGCCGGAAGAACAAGGACCACAAUCGGAAAGAUUGAGGGCAGAAAAAGCCUCUAAAUCGCAAGAGUAGGUAAAGUAAAUCAGAAAAACAAUCACCCAAACCUUAAAGCCUAUGCUUCAUAUGUAAUGGUUCGCAUUGGGUACAUGACUGUUUGAAAAAGAAGUUGUUUAAUACUCUAGCGGCACAACUUAAGGACCACUUCACACCGUCAACGGAGGAACCCAACACAGCAUGGGUACCCUCCAAUGCCUCGGCGCACUCAAGAGCCACCUGCUAGCACCCACCAAUAAAUGACUCAUGUUCGUGAGUGCGACCAUCAAUGGCCAAGCCAUGUAUGCCUUGCUCGACACUGGAGCGACACACAACUUUAUUUCGAAAGAUGAGGCCAAGCACCUAGGCCUCGAGGUGACGAAGGAAGGAGGCACCAUGAAGGUGGUAAACUCACCCGCCAAACGCAUCACGAGCACUACAUAAGGUGUGCGCGUAACACUCGUAACAUGGAGCGGAAAGCUCGAUUUCUCUAUCGUGCCUAUGGAUGACUUCAAGAUGGUUCGUGUCAUGAAAUUCUUUGAUUAAGUUCAUGCUUUCCACUACCAGCCACAAACUCCCUAAGCAUCAUCAACAGGAGUAUAGAGUGUAUAAUUCCGACCGAGCAAUCCAAGACCGCAGAUAAGACGCUCUCGGCCAUGCAAUUCAAGAAGGGUUUCCGAAAUGACCCAAUUUUCUUGGUCUCUAUCUGGGAGUUGAAUAAUGAAGAAGAUUGCGGAGACUCACCAAGCCAAGUCUCUUCGCUUAUCCAAAGAGUCCUCAACAAAUUCAAAGACGUCAUGCCUCCGGAGUUACCGAAGAAGCUCCCAUCAAGACGUGAGGUGGAUCAUGAGAUCGGGCUAGAAUAAGGUCUAAAACCUCUAGCCUUGGCGCCCUACUGCAUGGCGUCACCCGAACUCGAAGAGUUGCAGAGACAACUCAAAGACUUACUGGACGCGGGCUACAUCCACCCAUCGAAGGUUCCAUUCAGUGCACUCGUGCUCUUCCAAAAGAAGAAAGAUGGAUCGCUGCGAAUGUGCAUUAACUAUCGGGCACUCAACAAGAUUACAAUCAAGAACAAAUAUCUGAUCCCUUUGAUCGCGGAUUUGUUUGAUCAACUUGGCAAAGCACGUUACUUCACCAAGCUCGACUUGCGGUUCGAAUACUACCAAGUGCACAUAGCUAAGGGAGAUGAGCCAAAGAUAGCAUGCGUAACUAGGUAUGAAUCUUUUGAAUUCCUUGUUAUGUCAUUUGGCAUCACCAAUGCACUAGCCACAUUUAUACGUUUAUGAACAAAGUUCUCCAAUAUUUCCUCGACCACUUCUUCGUCGUGUACUUGGAUGACAUCGUGGUGUAUAGCACCACACUUAAAGAACAUGUCAAACACUUGCGGCAAGUCCUCCAAGUAUUAUACGACAACGAGCUCUACCUCAAAAUGGAGAAGUGCUCAUCGUUCAACGAGAGGUAGAGUUCCUUGGCCACAAGAUAGCGGACAGGAAACUUAUGAUGGAGAACUCGAAAGUAAAGGCCAUUCUCGAGUGGGAAUAUCCUACCAAAGUACCUAAACUCCGGUCUUUUCUCGAGCUAAUGAAUUAUUACCGUCACUUCAUCAAGGGAUAUUCGACCAAAGUGGUACCUUUGACCAAUUUACUUAAGAAGAAUCGAGAAUGAUAUUGGUCAGAAGAGUGCCAAUACACAUUCAAGGAGUUGAAGAAAACUAUCUCCAAGGAACUCGUCCUCAUUCUUCUAGAUCACACCAAACCAUUCGAGGCUCAAACGGAUGCCUCCGACGCCACCAUUAGUAAAUCCUCAUGCAAGAAGGCCACUUUAUAGCACUCGAGAGUUAAUUGAAGGCUUAAUGAUACGGAACGCCGCUAUACUGUGCAAGAAAAAGAAAUGAUUGCAAUUGUCCAUUGCCUACGCGUGUGGCGACACUACUUGCUUAGGUCACAUUUAAUGAUCUUAACGGAUAACAUAGUCACAAGCUAUUUCCAAACACAAAAGAAGUUGUUCCCUAAGCAAGCAAAGUGGCAAGACUUCCUUGAGGAAUUCGAUUACCGACUCGAGUACAAGCCCAGAAAAGCCAAUGUCAUUGCGGAUGCCCUAAGUUGCAAAGUGGAGUUGGCGACUCUUAGCAUGAGCCAACCAAAGUCCGACUUUGUCACACACAUUAAGAAAUGCCUCCAAUAAGACACCCUAGCGAAAUACUUAUUGAGGAAAUUUCUUAAGGGCAAGACAAGGCGAUUUUGGCAAGAGGAAAACAUCAUUCUCACCAAAUGUGACCGACUCUUCGUGUCUAGGUGGGGAAAUUUAUGAUGAGAAGUAAUCAAAGUGUGCCACGACUCGAAGUGGGCUGCCCACCCCAGAGUAAAGCGCACGACCGUACUAGUCCAAGCCUCAUAAUUUUGGCCACACAUGAGAGACGACAUCGAGGCUUAUGUGUAUACUUGUCUUGUAUGCCAACAAGACAAGACGAAUCACCAACUUGCAAUAAGAUUGUUGGAGCCCUUGUCAAUAGCAUCAAGGCCAUGGGAAAGUGUCACCAUAGACUUCAUCUCGGCCUUACCCAAGUUUGAGGAGUGCGAAAGCAUCAUGGUCCUGGUCGACCGCUACAGCAAGUACACAACUUUUAUCGUCGUACCGACCAAUUGCAAAGCGGAUAAAGUUGCCUGGCUCUUCAUCAAACAUGUUGUGAAACUGUGGGGAGUUUCGAAAACAUUGUGAACGAUCGAGGGCCAUGAUUCACUGACCGUUUUUGGACGGAGCUCUUCAAGAUGUUGAGAACCGACCUCAAGUUCUCAUCAACCUUCCACCCACAAACGGAUGGGCAAACUGAGCGUAUCAGUAGCCUCCUCGAGAUGUAUUUGAGGCACUAUGUAAGCGCUCACAAGCGAGAUUGGGCCAAGUUAUUGGAUAUUGCCCAAUUCUCAUACAACCUACAACGCAGCGAGGCUAUCGGUAAGAGUCCAUUCAAAAUCAUCUUGGGAUUCCAACCCAUGAUGCCAAACACCAUAGUCUUGACAUAUGGAGAAAAAAGCCCAGUGGCUCACAAGCUCGCCCGCGAGUGGCACAAGGAAGCGGACAUCAUGUGAGCCUACCUCGACAAAGCCGCACGGAGGAUGAAUAAAUAGGCUGAUUCGAAAAGACGCCACGUCAAAUACAAGGAAGGCGAUCAAGUAAUGGUGAAGCUCAUACCCCAACAAUUCAAGACUUUACAGAAAGUUCACAAAGGGUUAGUGAGGUGUUACGAAGAGCCUUUCCGAGUUGUCCAACGUGUGGGUAAAGUCUCAUACCAACUCCAACUUUUGUCAAGACUCAAGAUUCAUCUGGUCUUCCACGUGAGUCUACUUAAGCCAUAUCAUAGGGAUGCGGAAGAACCAAACCGCGAAGAGUUAAGACGUGCCCAAAUUGUCGUUGUCACUGCGUAUGACAAGGAUGUGGAGUACAUUUUUGCCAAUCGAGUAAUUCGAAAAAAGGGCAUACCGACAUACAACGAGUACUUGGUGAAGUGGAGAAACCUCCUCGAGAGUGAAGCCACGUGGGAACGCGUAGACGACCUAUGGCAAUUCACAGAGCAUGUCCAAAACUACCAGCACGAGAAUGCAAUGAGGAUGCCGUGAGCAGAAGUGGGGGAAAAUUUUCACGAGCUGCUCAAAUUUGCCACCAACGGAAGCUAAUUCCGCGUGCACAUGUACACUUAGCAAAAGUCCGCCUUAGAAGCGGGUUGCACUUAACACAAAAGGUUGGAUGCACUUAAAAGUGAAAUGUGCUUAGAAAUGGGACGCUAACACAAUUAGCCAACCGUGGUGCACUUAGCGAUCAUUCAAGCCCAGCUUGAAUUCUAAAUUUCUCUACAAACUACAAUUGUAAAUAAGCUAGAACUUUCUAAGCUUGAGCAUUUAAGUCUCUAGGAUAUUUAUGCAAGUUGCAUGGAAAGUUCAAAAACCUAGCACCCAACACCUAUAAAAAGGGGUGAGCCCUCCUCAUUUUCUCACCACCACACCACACACAAAAGCUCUCUAGCUCUUGUAAAAAGCACUCUUGUAAUUUAUUCUUUAGUGUGUAACAAAAUAUAUAUUUGGCCAUAUUGUUCUCUUGUCUCUAGCAUUUUCCGUAAGUGUUCUUACUUUGCUAGUUUGAGAAGAAUCAAAAGGCUUACUUAACGACUCAUGUGCUAGAAGUCGUCUAAGUGCCGCAUAGGUUUGUUGUGCAAAACUCUCGUCCUGUGACAUUAUGGUCGGAUAUUAGAAUACUAGUUUUUUAUGAGUGCAACACAGAACCUUGGUGCUUAUAUAUUGAUAUAUAUAUUCAAAUAAAGAAUCUUUUAUGAUUUAGGAUUAAUAUGGUAAUGUUGUAAUUUUUAAAAUAAUUAUUGUUAGUUGUACUAUAGAAAUAAUCAAUUGUUGAAAAAAAUUAGUUAAGUAUUUGGUAAAAUUUAUUUUUUAGAAGUGCUUUAAGUUUUAAAAGUAAUAAUAUGUGUUUGGUAAAUCUUACCGUUAACCUACUGUAAGAGUACAAAUGAAUAAAAUAAAUAUAAUGUUUAAUAAAAAAAUUUACAUAUAUAAUUUUUUGUUGUAUAUAUACAAUAAUUGAUAACUAAAAUAAUUUUUUUGUUAAUUUUUUUUUAUUUUUUAUAUUAAUAUAAUUGGUGAUAAUAUUCUCUUUAAAAUUAAUAAUUUUAUUUUCCAAUUGAAUAAGGAUAUUUUGGAAUUUUUUAAUAUAUGUAAGGAUAUAUAUGAAAUUUUAUUUAUCAUAAAACUGAUUCUUAAAAUCAAAAUUUGAAAAGCUACUUUUUUCCUAUUUUUCAAAAUUUGCUAUAACUGAAUGAUUUUGCCAAAAAUAAUUUUUUAAAAAAUUACCUUUUAACUUUUUAAAAUUACUUUUAAACCUUUGAAAAGCAAUCCUAAAUGAGCCCCUAAUAUUUUUCUACAAAUAAAUACUUAUUGUACCCACUAUUAAAAUUUAAAAAUUAAAUUUAUGCUCUACACACUCGAAUACUAAAGCUAAACUUUUAAACCAAUUCCCUAUGUUAAUAAAAAAAUUUAAACAAACUCAUUUAGCUAAUUACAACCCCAUAAUAAAUAAGUAAAUCAUAACUAUACACGAUUAAAAAUGUACAUAUGUCAAAAGAUCUUUCAAACUUUAAAUUAGCUAUCACGAGAAGACUGUUAUUCAAUGUUUUCGAACUUUAUACUCAUUUUUAUAAUUACUAAUUUGUACAAUUAAUUAAUUAUAUCAUUCUUUCAUUUUUUUUUUAUUAAUUCAUAUCUCUUUGCCAUGUUUAAUCUAAGAUUGCAUGAAUAAUAUAUAACUAAGCUAUGUUUAUUUUAACAUUUUAAGGCAUAAGUAUGGAAGUACCCAAAAAAUAUUUUAAAUUCAAUAAUUUUUUAUUUUAAUUUUAUACCAAAUUAUUUCUAAAUGAUUUAUUGGUAAUUAAUACGUUAUUAGUAUGAAUACCAACUCUUACUGGUUGAAGUAUACAAGUGACCACAAGUCAAUGGAAAAGGAGCAACAAUCUUGGAAUACCCAAGACUUUUUCCAUACAUAUUCCUAAAUUAAUUAUUUUGACAUAGUAACGAAUUUUUUUUUUCAAUUUGAUCAUUUUAUGUUAUAAGGGUAAAUAGUCAAAUUGAAUCUACAUUAAGGCAAAUUUAGUGAUAGGAUAUGAUCCAUAUUUUAUGUACCAUGUAUGCUCCCUAUUUUAUGUAAAUUUGUUAUUGGAAUUAGUUCCCUCCGGAUAAACAAUUAGGCACCGGUAAUUUUCUUUCAAAUACUUUCAAGUACUUGAUUCUCUGUUUGCUGUGUAUGAGUGAAUAUUAUCAUGAUUGGUUGAAGUAUACAAGUGACCAUGAGUAAAUGGAAAAGGAGUAACAAUCUUGGAAUACCCAAGACUUUUUCCAUACAUAUUCCUAAAUUAAUAAUUUUGACAUAGUAACGAUUUUUUUUAUUUGAUCAUUUUAAGUUAUAAGGGUAAAUAGUCAAAUUGAAUCUACAUUAAAACAAAUUUAGUGAUAAGAUAUGGUCCAUAUUUUAUGUACCUUGUAUGCUCCCUAUUUUAUGUAAAUUUGUUAUUAGAAUUAGUUCCCUCCGGAUAAACAAUUAGGCGCCAGCAUUUUUCUUUCAAGUACUUUAUAAUCCAUGCAUGCAUGAAUUCUUUUAUUUACUUCAAAAUAUUGAUAACUCGAACAAACGUGGAGGAACGAAUAAUGUACAAACACAGAGACAUACUAAUAUGGUUGAUUGAAGUAUGACAGUAAGAGAACAUUAAACAAAAUAACAAAACAAAAGGCAAAUAAUCACUAAGAACUGUAAAGCAUCCAUAUUGCAUGCCUUCGUUCCUGAUAUAUAAGCCUUAUUUGAGAAACGAAACUGUUGCGGCUUUAUACUUUCAUAACCUGCAAACCAAGGGGUUUAAAAAAAGAUAACAUAAAUAUAAGUGGAUAAGAAAAAUAAGUAGAAAUAAAUUACACAAGAAAAAUUAUAAAACUAAUAAAGGUUUCCGCGAAGCAUACAUUUAUUUGCUCCAAGUAUAAACAGUGACUUGUUUAGUAGUAAGGUGGUGGAGGUGACUUAUAGAUGUACGGAGGGGGUGGGGAAUUGUAAACAUAAGGAGGUGGAGGUGGAGAUUUGUACAUAUACGGAGGAGGUGGUGGGGACUUGUACACAUACGGAGGAGGUGGUGGGGACUUGUACACAUACGGAGGAGGUGGUGGGGACUUGUACACAUACGGAGGAGGUGGUGGGGACUUGUACACAUACGGAGGAGGUGGUGGGGACUUGUACACGUGGUGGGGACUUGUACACAUACGGAGGAGGUGGUGGGGACUUGUACACAUACGGAGGAGGUGGUGGGGACUUGUACACAUACGGAGGAGGUGGUGGGGACUUGUACACAUAUGGAGGAGGUGGGGACUUGUAGAGAUAUGGUGGUGGGGACAUAUAGACAUAAGGUGGUGGUGGUGGAGACUUGUAGACGUAUGGUGGAGGAGGUGACUUGUAUAUGUAUGGAGGUGGAGGUGACAUGUAGACGUAAGGAGGAGAAGGUGAUGGUGAUGGCGAUGUGUAGACAUAAGGUGGAAGAGAUUUAUGAUCGCGUCCAUAAGGUGGCUUGUAAGAAUAAGGCGGCGGGGACAUGUAAACAUACGGUGGUGGAGGCGGUGGCGACUUAUACAUGUAGGGUGGUGGAGUGUAUGUUGGUGGAGCAUAAGUGUAUGGCAUGCCGUUGUCUGCAGCUACAUGAGUUGCAACAAAGCAUAAUACCAAUGCAUAGACUAGAUGUGGCCAAAUAUUGACCAUUUUCGCUAUCAUUUUGAUGACCUUGAAAAUCCCAGCGAGAGUGCUAAGAGCUUUAUUUCUUCGAUACUAGAGGAUCACUUUUGAAUGAACAUGGCAUAGAAACACGCAGUUUAUAUAGUCAGUUAACCCAUUUUUUUAAUAGAGCAUGAAGUUUCCUCUCCAACAAAUCCAAUUAUUUUACCCUCACACUCUUCUUUUUAAUAUGUUACUGACAUUAUCGGAUCUCACCAAGUCAUUGCAGUUCUCCUUUCUGAAUUCUAAAACAUUCAAAGUUGUGGGUUAAUUUCGAAUUAGUCCUUUAUAAAUUGAUUAUUUUUAAAUUAUCUCUUAUUUUUUAAAAUUUUAAUUUACUCUAUUUUUAUUAGGAUGACUUAAAAAAAAAUCAACCCAUCUCAUUUUUUUCUUAUUUUUUAAAAUAAAAAUGAAAUAAUUUGAAACUUUUAAAAGUAGAGAGAGUGAUUUAAAAAUACUCAAUUCAUGAGGGGGUAAUUUAAAAUUUAUCCUAAAUUAUAUUAUAGUAACUAUAGUCAAUAAUCAAUUAAAAAUAAAAAUAGAUAAAACUCCACCCAAAGAGAUCAAAUUGCAAGAAAGAGCAGUUAUGAUCUGGGGUUCCUGAGAAAAUUUCCAAGGUGACUUUUUGUCUCAUGACAACUAAUUGGCUGGUGCUUAUUGUAAAGGGUAAAUUAAUUCAUUGAAUUGAUCUGUUAAGAACCUACCCUCAAUAGCUAUUUCAAAACUCAGUCAUAUUAUUUCUUAUUACCGAUAUUAAAUUAUAAAGAACGGUGAACAUUUGGAGAAACAACACAGAUAGCAUUUAUCAUUUUCAGGUUUAAAACUAGCUAACUAAAUCACAACGCCAAAUAUCAAUAUUUUUUUUCUAACAUGAUUUGAUCGAAGGAAAAGACUUCAACGCAGAUUUCUCUAUUUUUUUUUAAAUGUAGAUUUUACAGUUAUAUAAUGUUAUUUGUAGUUUUUGCAUUGAUUAAAAUUUAUAUUUUUAUAAAAAUGAGAUGCUACGACUAUCUCACUUAUUUGAUCUCUCAAACUCGAACCACGUCUCAUUAGCUGUAGAAUUAAUAUAAAUUCAAAUUAUAGAAAGAAUGAUGAAAAAGCCUUUUGAAAAUACAAUUAAGAAAAGGGAAAAAAAAAUUAUAUGGUGGCUUUACCACAUAAUUCUUAAUUCAAUUUAUCUUGGAUCAAGUCAUAACGUGUAUGUUUGGUGUACGUUACAUUUGACAUUUUCCAUGUUUAGGUACUGAAGAAAUUAAUUAAGCAUGUAAGCACCAAUCAAUUAGCAAAUUAACUCAGAAUAUAAUUUAAAAACUGAAUUGUGAAUAAACAAACAGUACUGAUUGGUCUGAAGCAGUCAAAAUCACAGAUUCUAGUUAAUUUGUUGCUUCUUCAUUUAUGAAAUAUAAAACAAAUUUAACGUCGUUGAAAUUAGUUUGCCAACUUUUUAAUAAUAUGACGAUGCACCGAUUAUUGAAUAUCUUACUCUUGAAGUACCGUAAUUAGAUCCGGACUCAUCAUUUUCUAGCCACAUAUGCCAAAUUGUCUUGUUCUUGGCUGUAGAAUUACCAUUUAUAACUCAUCAGCAAUGUUACAUCAUUUAUGAAUAUUCAACUUCAGAAAUUAGUAGAGCGAAAAGGCUUAUUUGUAGAUAUUCGUCUCUUAGUACAAAUAGUUGGAUUUUCACGAAAUAUUUUUUAUCGUUUAUGUAUAGGUAUGCUUUUACAAAUUAUCGUGAACGAUUUUUUUUUUCUUUUUUGGGUAAUAGCAAUUCUUACAAUAAUAAUAAUAAUAACAAUAAUAAUCUAACUACGGUAUAUUAAGGUUAUUAUACCCCAACUUGCACACCAUUAAAUGUUUAGAUUUUGCUGACUUUCUAAACAUUUGAUGAUACUCAGAUUAUGAGGUAUGGUAUUUCUAAGAUACAGAUAUAGUAUCCUGAGGAUACUAAAUUUACGGCAAAAAAUUAAAACAACAAUAAUAAUACAUGGAUUUAGAGCAUCUAUAAGCUUAUUCUAGAUGUGUUAUUGUUUUUAACUGCUACCAGGAAGGAACUGGAAGUAAAUGAUCUCCACGUCUGUUGAUGUCGAAAAACGACCUCAACAGCUGAAUUUGUUUCUUUUGGGGAAUUACAGCGCAAAUCCAAGCUCAAUCGCCAAUAUGACCGUAAUUUUCUGUACCUGUCAAUCAGAAAACACGGUUAGGAUACGCCGAUGGGGUCCUGGCGCAGACCCUCCGAUGCUUAAAUCAGAAAUUGUGUAUAAAGAGAUAAAAAAGAAAGAGAAGAAUUGUGAAUGAGUUCAAAAUAAAGGAAUUUUCCAAUAGAGAAACCCAAAAUCUGGUAGGGAAUGUUAAGGCUCUUAGAUAGGUCACUUGUAGAGUUUUUGGUUCAUUUUUGCUAACCCCUUCACCUGAUGCGCUCUUUAGUUUAAAUAGACUCUUAGUCGUAUACGGUUACCUCCUUAACUUCAGCCCACUUUCUUCAGCAGUUGCAAGUGGUUGUCAGUUGGAGGUGGUUUAAAUAGAUCAUGGCAUACAACUUCCCUAUAAAUUAGGCCACGUUUUCUUAACUAGCAAUUUUUCAUGUCAAGCUAAUUCUCAGGUCGGACGAGAGAAUUUCAAGGUCAGAUUACUUCACUUUCAGAUCAGACGGAUGAAUUUCUCAGUUGCUCAUAUAGCGUUGAAGUUGUACUCUUAACUUAGGUCAUUCACAUAGAUCUUAGGUCGUACUUGUAAACCAAGUCGCCAACAUAGGCUGCAGGUUGCACUUAUGAGGUCAGCUCAACAACAAUAAGUUCUGAGUACAUUAGGAUCGACUAUAUUUUAAGACACUAUCAGAAAAUCCAACCCAAACACCAGUCCCCUAGUUUUCAAUACCGAAAAGUCAUUGCCGGUGUUGGAAACUAGUAGAAAAAUUUUCUCAAAACCCAACACCUCAUUGAUAAAACUUGAAAACAAGAAGGGAAAAGUUUAGAGAACAAGUCAAUCGGCUUAUGAAUUUUUUUUUCAUUGAUUAAAAACUUUUUUAUUGCACAAUUUUCUCCAUCUAACUGUAAAUUUGUCAAUUCUAAAGAGUAUUUAAUAAGGGAAAUUGUUAUUUUCUCCUUUACUAAAACCAAUACAUACUAGUUACUAAAAAUUUUCAUAAUAACCAAUAAUUCCCUUGCCGACAUAAUUUUAUAGUAUUACCUUUAUUUUUAAAUUCACUUUUAUUCAUACCUACUGUAAAUUAAAUAAGUCAUAUAAUUAAAAAUUAAAAUUAAAAAAAACUGAAGUACUAAAGAUAAGAAAUAUAUGUUCACUAUGAAAAAAAAUUAAUAAUGAGAUAUUUUCUUAUAAUUUUUUGUUAUUUUUUAAACACUUUUCUUAUAAUAAAUUUAUAUUUUGUUUUCUAAGAUAAACCACCAAGUAAAUUACAUAUUUACCCCUCUUUUCCUUUAAAAUUUUUAUGUUAGGAAAUUUUUUAAUAUUAUAAAAAUAAUAAAGAAAAAAAUGAUAUAUAUUAAUUUCAUUAAGGGAAAACUAACAAUUUCCUUAUUUAACAAUUUCCGCAAUGAACUGUUACACCAACUGUUGAGCAUCUGAAUUCAAACAUUUGGGAAAGGAAAACGGCAGCGUUUUCUUAAUGUUUGAGUUGCUAUGAAGUCACGUGAAGGAAGCAUGAUCACUUAAACUAGAAACGGCAACUGAAGCUAUCGUUUUGGCUGUGUUUAAUUCCUAAUCGUCACCAUUCUCCUUCUCCUGCACAAAGCCAGGGAACAAAAAAAUGCAAAUUGAAUAAACAAUUUCAACAUAGAUAGCAUAAUUAUCCGCAGAAGAAUCACAACGUUUCAUACAAAACCUCUUCACAAUUUCCUUCAUCUUCCUCCUCAUCAAUCUCCUCAGACAUUGAUGUUUCAGACUCCUCUUCAUCCUCUGAUGUCGCAGGGAAUUCAAUCUAAUUUUACCAUAACAAAAACAAAGACAACAAAUAGUUUAAACAACCAAUAAAAACACUUUUUACAUAAAUAACACAACUAGUUGCCAAAAAAAAAAAGUUAUUAAACGAACCUCUUUGCUGCCUUCUCCAUCUUCCUCGUGGUCAGUCUCCUCCGACGUUGAUGUCUCAGACUCCCCUGAGUCCUCUAUCUUAGGACGCUUAGCCUGAUAUUACCGAUGACUCAGAUUACUGACAGAGCAAGACAGCUUAGUGAACAAGUUAUCCACUGAAACAAAAAGGAAGAUAGCUUAAUGAAUCGAUGCAUAUAUACCAUUUUUUCGUGUAACUGCUGUAUGGUUGUAUUCACGUCACCUGCCCAACACGCUUCAUUCAGUUCCAAGUUUUGCACAUCCCAUAAUCUCGGUGUCUUUAAAACUCCUGCAGAGAAAGUCUUCAUGUUGGGGCAUUUGAUCACCAUUAGAUCCUCCAAGCAUGGGAAAUUGAAGGCAUAAUUAGCGCCGGAGCAGAAACUUCUCAGGCUCUCUAAACUUUCAAGAAACAACUCCUUCAAUUUGUUGAAAACAAUUUCAACUUUUACCACGUCUCCCUGAUCACUUGCUAUUACUUCAGUAACCAUUUUGCACUUCGAUAUUGUCAUUUUUCUCAGUUGCACCAGACACUUCGCUGUUGGGGAUGUUACUACGCUUACUAGUCUUUCGCAGUCGCACACUUCCAAAACUGUUAGAUUUCGGAAAGAUGCUCGGGAUGGAACCAAAUUCAUCAUAUUGCCACAAUACUUAAUCUCUAGAAUUUCAAGAUUUUGAAGCAUUAAGUCCAGUUUGGAAUCUUGUUUCCACAUAUGAGUCAGAUCCGAGAGUUUAUUUAGCUUCAAGGUUUUUAUAUGUGUGAGCCUUCCAGCAUGUUCUUCAACCUCUUCAGAGGAACAAAUUUCUUUGUAUGAACCAUAACUCAGUACAAGCUUUUCAAGAUUGCGAGCUCUCUGAAGCAAGCCAAGUGGAAAAACAGCUGAUUCAUCAUCAUACGAGACAUUAAGGACUUUGAGCUUGCUCAAAAGAUGUUCUAGAAAAUGGUCCUGCCAUAUCAUGGUGAUGUCCUUUUUGCUUAAUGACAAUUCCUCCAAGUUUCGGAAGACCUAGUGACCAAGCAGAAAAAGGCCAGCAGGAGUUGGUCUUCCAUCAGACAAUUGCACAGAACAGAUAAAAUCUUAUAAAACAAAUGAAAAAUGAGCAUCAUACCUGAUCAUCAAAGAAGUGGGGUUGUUCUGCUGGGAUCCCUUUUAUUUCCUCAAAGCUAAUAUGUUCUGGCACGAAUAUACUUACUUUGUCACAACCAUAUGCUUUCAACUUUUUUAACACCGGCCAUUCUAAAGUAUACAUUCCAUGGUAGAAAGUUCUAAGAUGUGGAAGUUCGCAGAGUGUGAGCGAGAUUAAACUGGGAAAGACAAACCCAACAGUUGCUUCGGCUCUUCCUUCCUUGGCAACAAUCUCCUCCACUCCACAGUUCUUAAUGUACAACUUCUCAAGUUGCAAAAGGCUCCUGGCAAUGGAGGCGGGAAAGAGACUUUUCAAACUCUGACAUGCAAAUAUCCUCAGUUUCAGUAGGUUCGGAGAUGAGGAAAACAUUUUGUGGGGAUCCUUAUUCCAUAUGCUCUUCAAUUUCGGUAGACGAGAAAGAUAUAAUUCUCUCAACUGAGUUACUGCUCCAGAACCUUGUUCUUCAAAAUCCAUCCCUUCAAGAUCAAAUAUCUCUUCUAGAGAACCACAAUUUGUCACCAUUAGAGAUUCCAGUUUCAAGAAUCUUCCACAUAUCUGGGGAGGAAAAAUGGUCAGUAGUCUUUUGCAGGACUCAACUUUCAUUAACUUCAGUUUGCAAAACGAAUCAUCGGCAAAUUGGUUGAGCCAUAUCAUCUUCAAGUUAUCCAUGUUGGAAAGUACCAUUUCCUCUAAGCUAGGUAAUGCAACCUGUAGUGAUUAUGCCAUUGAGUAGAGAAAAUUGAAAAUUAAAAAGAAACGGGUGAAGUUGGGAAGAUAAAUUAAUUUCUACCUUUUCAUUGAAGAAAGGUUGGAUCUCCACUGAGCUCAUUGUUUCAACUUUUUUGCCUCCUUUCAAGUCCGUGGUCAUAUUUUUUAGGAUGAAUGCCUUUAACAUAGGGCAUCGCUGUAUUUGCAGUUCUUUCAAGGAUGGAAACUCAAUAUAAUUUCCUGAGCAGAAACUUGUGACAUUAACAAGAUCUUUUAUCUUCAGGAAGUUUAAUUGAGGGAAAAUGAUGUCCUUUUCUUCCUCCAUUGACUCUUCAAGUUCAAGGAACACUAUCUCUUCUAAGUUCAUGCAGUUGCUUAUCUCAAGGUGCCGGAGUUGCACAAAGCUUCUGACUGAAGAAGAGUGAAAUACAGACUUUGAAGUACCACAAACGCGCACAAUCAAGCGGGUUAAGUUUUGAAUGCAAGAAGACAUCGCUGGAAGUUGAUUGUGCCAAAUCUUUUCAACAUUAAUGGCAGAAAGUUUCAAGGACUCCAAGUUGGGGAAGGCAACCCACAGACAUAGUUCAGGUUUCAAUUUACUUUCGUAUAAAUGUAAGAAAUGAUAUUUUACGGUAUCAUAAACAUGCCAUAAGGAUGAAGAAUCUCUCUUUCUGAUAAAAGUUAACAUCCAAUAGUACAAAGUUUAGUCUAACUUAGAAAUUAUGAGGAAAAAGUAGUCUCCUUCUUAUUGACAAUUAAUAUAAGAAUCCCUUUUAAAUAAAGUAAUUAUAACAGAAAAAGAAACUAAUUAAGAGCUAAUAUUUGAUAGCUAUCAUCAAUAUUUAUAGCUAUCAUCUAUAUUUACAUAGGAAACGGAUCUUAAAAUAUCUCUAGGAUUAAGGCUAAAAUCAAGGCCUAAUUUCCAACACUCCCCCUCAAGCUGGUUUGAAGAUAUCUUCCAUAGCCAGCUUGCUAGUCAACUUAUCAAAUUGCUUCUUGUGCAAUCCGUUUGUUAAUACAUCGGCUAAUUGUUCAUUUGUUGGAAGAUAUGUCAUACAUAUUUUUCCAGUAUUGAGUUUCUCCUUGAUGAAGUGUUUAUCCACUUCUAUAUGUUUUAUUCGAUCAUGAAGAACUGGAUUAUGAGCUAUAGAAAUAGCAACUUUGCUGUCACAAUAGACUUUCAUAGGAGUUGAGAAAGCAAAUUUCAGUUCUUCAAGAAUUCUUUUUAUCCACAUAACCUCGCAGAUUCCAUGGGCAACAGCUCUGAAUUAUGCUUCCGCACUACUUCUAGCUACCACAUUCUGUUUUUUACUCCAUCAUGUAACUAGGUUCCCACCAACAAAGGAACAGUAGCCAGAUGUUGAUCUCCUAUCAGUGACACUUCCUGUCUAGUCUGCAUCAGUGUAGACUUCAACUUGAAGAUGUCCAUGUUUUUUUAACAUUAGGCCUCUCCCUGGAGUUCCUUUUAGAUAUCUUAAGAUCCUGUAGACUGCCUCGAAAUGCUCUGCCCCUGGUGAGUGCAUAAACUGACUUACCAUGCUGACUGCAAAGGCGAUAUCAGGUCGCGUAUGAGACAAGUAGAUCAACUUCCCUACGAGUUUUUGAUAUUGUUCCCUAUCAUUUACUUCUUCAACCUUAGCAGGUUGUAACUUCAAGUUAGGAUCAAUUGGGGUCUCUACCAUCUUACAACCAAGCAAACCUGUUUCUCCAAUGAGAUCAAGAACAUAUUUCCUCUGAUUCACAAAUAUACCUUCCUUGGAUCUUGCAAAUUCCAUUCCAAGGAAAUACUUAAGGACUCUCAAAUCCUUAAUUUGAAACUUCUUUCCAAGUCUCUUCUUGAGGGCUGCUAAUUAUGUUUCAUCAUCACCAGUUAAAAUGAUAUCAUCAACAUAAACAAUCAAAAUUGCAAUUUUACAGUCUUUUGAGUGUUUAUAAAAUAUUGUGUGAUCUCCUUGACUCUGCAAGAAGCCAUAACUGAUAACUGCCUUUCCAAAGCGUUCAAACCACGCUCUUGGUGACUGUUUGAGACCAUAUAAUGACUUUUUUUAAUCUGCAGACUUUAUCACUACCAAGUCUCUUCUCAAAUCCUGGUGGUAGACUCAUGAACACCUCCUCUUUAAUAUCACCGUUGAGAAAUGCAUUUUCAACAUCAACUUGAUGUAAAGGCCAAUCAGAAUUCACUGCAAGAGAUAACAAUAUUCUGAUAGAAUUUAUUUUAACAACAGGAGCAGAAGUCUCCUGAUAGUCAAUCCCAUAAGUUUGAGUGAAGCCUUUAGCCACCAGUCUUGCCUUGUACCUCUCAACGCUUCCAUCAGCAUUACAUUUUAUCGUAAACACCCACUUACACCCAACUAUUUUCUUGCCUCUGGGUGGAUCAAGUAUCUCCCAAGUACCACUUCUCCUCAAGGCAUUCAUCUCCUCCAUGACUGCUAAUUUCCAAUUUAGGUCAUUCAGUGCUUCCUGUACAUUUCUUGGAACAAACAAGUGUGAAAUCCUAGAUGUGAAAGCUUUAUGGUUUUUUUACAGUCUUUGAUAGGAAAGAUAAUUUGCAAUAGGAUGUUUGGUGCAGUUUCGAACACCUUUCCUAAUAGCUAUAGGGACAUCAAGAUCAAGAAUAAUUGGUGAAUCAUUGGAAACAAUAAAAGGAAUCAAAGCUGGAGCUGGGAUUUGAUUACCUGAAAUUUCAGUGCCGGAACUCAGUUUUUCAAAUUGGGCUUGUGUAGGAUUGACAUUCAAGUCUUUACUUCUCAGAUGAAAUCUCUUCCUAGUAUAAACCUGAAGUUCAGAAUUUAGAUCAUGUUGAUCUGUUUGUAGUACUUUUACUUCUCAGAUGAAAUCUCUUCCUAGUUUUCAAAUUGGGCUUGUGUAGGAUUGACAUUCAAGUCUUUACUUCUCAGAUGAAAUCUCUUCCUAGUAUAAACCUGAAGUUCAGAAUUUAGAUCAUAUUGAUCUGUUUGUAGUACUUCUCUCCCUGAACGAGAAUCUCCUAGACUAGGCACUAAAGAACUUGUUUUUCUCAACCGAUCAUUAUCAGAAAAGUGUGGUCUUUGAAUAGGACAAAUAACUUUUGGAAGUGGGAUAGAAAUGUCCUAAAAAUUGUCUUCUACUCCAUUUGUCUCCCCCUGAAGAGAAUUUUGAGUGAAAUAAGGAGUUUUUGCCCAAAAACGACACAUCCAUACUCACAUGGAAUGUUUUUGUUUGAGGGUCAAAACACUUAUACCCUAUUUUGUUCGAUGAAUAACCCAAAAAUACACACUUUAUAGCACGUGGGUCAAGUUUUGAACGAAAUUGACUUGGAACAUGAACAUAGACAGUACACCCAAAAACUUUGACAGGUAAAUCAGAAAACAACCUUGUUGUAGGAAAAAAUUCUUUAAGGCAAUCAAGGGGUGUUUUGUAUUUUAACACCUUGGUAGGCAUCCUGUUUAUUAAAUAAGCUGCUGUUAAAACCGCUUCACCCCAUAAAUACUUAGGAAUUUGCAUUUAAAACAUUAUGGCACGUGCUACUUCAAGUAAAUGCUUAUUUUUCUGUUCUGCAAUGCCAUUUUGUUGAGGAGUGUUCCGACGUGUAGAUUGAUGAAAAAUGUCUUUAUCAUUCAAAAACUCACCCAAAUGCUCAUUGAAAUAUUCUAUUCCAUUGCCAGAAUGUAAAAUAUCAAUUUUGGUUUGAAAUUGAUUUUCAAUCAUAGUGUAAAAAUUUUCAAAUAAAUAUUUUACGUCAGAUUUUUUAUGCAUGAGAUAAAUUCCAACAUAAACGUUAUCAAUAAAAGUAACAAAUUAUUUUUUACCAGAAAGGGUAGUGACCUUAGAAGGAACCCAAACAUCACUAUGAAUCAAAUAAAAAGGUUUGGAGGCCUGGUAUUGUUUUGGCAAAUAAGUAGAACGAUGAAGUUUUGCAAAAAUGCAACAUUCGCAAUAAAAAGAAGAGCAAUCAAUCCCUUUAAACAAUUCUAGAAACAAGUAUUUCAAAUAAAGAAAACUAGGAUGUCCUAGUCUAUAGUGCCAUUGCAUUAUUUUUUUCUGAACAUAAAUUGAACUAGUACUAAUAAAGUUCUGAGCUUUUUUAUUACUAAUAGGUACUUCAUCAAAGUAGUAAAGACCUUCAAUCAUCCUAGCACUUCCAAUCAUCAUCCUCGAGUUCUGGUCCUAAAAUUCACAAUGUGAUUCAAAGAAGGUAAUACGACAAUUAGAAUCUCUAAAUAAUUUACUAACAGACAAAAGAUUACAGGCUAAUUUAGGGACAUAAAGAACACAAUUGAGAUUAAUUUUCCCGAUCAGUUUGAUAAGUCCUUUGUGAAAAACUACCAUCGGCAAUUCUAAUUUUUUUGAUUUCCAGAACAAGGAGAAUAUGUAUUAAAUAAAUGAAAAGAACUAGUCAUGUGAUCAGAGGCUCCAGAAUCAAUGAUCCAUGGAGAAGAGUUUAAACAAGAAAGGGCUAUAGGAUUUCUACAUGUUUGUGCCAAAGAAACACUAGGAAUACCAAACGAGAAGUUGGAUUUUAUCAGCUUCAAGAGUUUAUCAAUCUGCUCUUUGUUGAAGUGGCCUGAGUUGGCUUUAUUGGCAGAAGGAAUCCCACGAUUCUUCUCUCCUUGCUUGCUGCUUUUCCAUUUUUUAGGUUUGCCAUGAAGUUUCCAACACUUUUCACGUGUAUGGCGAGGCUUGUGGCAAUGAUCGCACCAGGCCUGUGACUUAUCAUCAGACCUGCGUUGAUAAUUUGCAGUCUUGUAGGCCACUGCAUCAGUAAUUAAGGCAGAAUUCUCAAUUGACUCACCGGUACUCCUUUUCCCGAGCAUUACGCUCCUUCGGCUUUCUUCUCUUCUGACUUUAGUAAAGACUUCGCCAAUGGGUGUUAGAGGAGGUCUGCCAAUAAUCCUUCCUCGUACUUCAUCAAACUCAAUAUUAAGGCCGGCAAGAAACUUGUAAAUACGAUUGUCUUCCACGAUUUUCUUGUAGUGGUUGCAAUCAUCAACGGAUUUCCAUUCAUAUGUGUUGAAGAGGUCAAGAUCUUGCCACAACCUUUUCAAUGAAUUAAAAUAUUUGAUAACAGAAUCAUCACCUUGACGAAUCUCUCCCAACUUUAAAGUUAACUAAAAAACCUGAGAUUAGUUGCCCAUGUCUGAAUACAUCUUACUAACAUUAUUCCACAAUUCUUUAACAAUAGGAUAGCACAUAUAAUUGGAGCUUAUAUCCUCCUCAAUGGAAUUGACCAGCCAUGGCAUAACCAUGGAAUUUUCAGCAUCCCAGGUGGCGUACAGUGGAUCAUCAUUAGCAGGAACCUUCUUGUCACCAAUGAUGUAACCGAUUUUUCCUUGCCCACGGAUAUACAUUCGGACAAAUUGCGAUCGGCAGAGGAAGUUAUCGCCAUUUAGGCAAAUGGUGGUGAUUUUAACAGAAUGAGAGUUGGAGUGGUUUUGCAGGGUCUCAAAUGUUUUUUUUCUGGAAUGGCAGCAGCAGGGGUUGGAGUGGUUUCAGACAUGACUUCUGACAUGGUUACAGACACGAUUCCCUAUGCUCUGAUACCAACUUAGAAAUUAUGAGGAAAAAGUAGUAUCUUUCUUAUUGACAAUUAGUACAAGGAUCCCUUUUAAAUAGAGCAAUUAUAACAGAAAAAGAAACUAGUUAAGAGCUAAUAUUUGACAGCUAUCAUCUAUAUUUACAUAGGAAACGGAUCCUAAAAUAUCUCUAGGAUUGAGGCUAAAAUCAAGGCCUAAUUUCCAACAGUCUACUACUUCUAAUUAGAAAUUAUUACUUGCUAAAUUAUUUCCAUAAAGGCAAAGCAAUUGCGUGAUUAAAGUUUAGCUAAAUUAGAGAUCAAAGUUUCAUACCAAGCAGUCUGAAAAAAAAAUGCACAGACGAAUCAAAGUUCAACAAAUAAAGAGAAGAAAAGAAUAAGAUGAUACAGCAGAAGGUUAUUGAACGCACCUUUUCACUAAAAAAUGGGGCGGAAGUAUCAAGCUCAUCCUCCAAAAUGACUUCAUUAGACGAUGAACCAAUUGUCAAUGGCGCCUGUUGCCUUUCCGGUGUGUAAGAUUUCUUCAGUAAAGAGCAAAAGCUUCUAAGAUGUGGUAGAGAUUUUAGAGUCAGCUUCCGCAGUUGAGCAAACUCAAGCUUAUCAAUCACAUUGUCUUUGAUAUCAUCUUCUCUAAACAACAGCAAAAAUCUCUUUCAUAUUCUUGCAUGCAAUCACUUCAAUUGUUUGAAGUUGCGGAAGGCUUCUGGCAACGGAAAAUGAGAAGAUAAAGCUCAAUUUAUCACAACUUUUCACCUUUAAGGUUGUUAACUUGCAGAAAGACUCUGCCUUGAGUUUCCCAUGACAGAUCUUCUCCAAAUUAAUCAAAUUGCUUAGAGACAAUGACUCCAAGGCGCGGAAGGCAUCACGAGGUACAUGCUUCACUGAGUCAAUAACAUACAAGAAGUAAGGAUUGUUUUGGAUUUGGGGAUGCUUCAAUUUCGGAAAACCCUCUCUGUCUAAAUCAUAAACGAUAUUCUUCACACCCCGCAUUUCAUCCAAGUAGAGUUCUUCAAUUCCCUUCAUCUGCAUGAAAACAUCAUCCUUCAGCCAAGUGCUGUUAUUGAGUUUGAGUUUCAAUAUUCUGCUAUUUUGAAGCUGAUCAGACCAAUUCCACUCAUCCCCGAUGAAUAUUUUGUACCUUUUCAACUUUUUGGAGAGCAAACCCUUUGGCAGGACGUUAGCAUCUUGAAUUUGAAUUUCUAGAUUCGUCAAAUAAGACAACUGCUUCAACUCAUGAAGACUAGCCUUGCUUCUCACAUUGUUGAGUCCUUCAAUCUCCCAUUCAACGAAGGUAUAACCCAUGUAUAACUCUUCCAAUCGGGACAAGCUGGAUAGGACAUUUGAUGGAAUCACUUUUAGUAGGUUACAAUAGGCUAAAUUUAACAACCUUAGCCUAGUCAAUUGACCGAUUUCUCUUGGAAACUCCUCAAUAUUUGAACCUUGAAAGCUAAGAAUUUCCAGUGUCUUCAGCUCUCCAAUAAUAGAUACAUCUCCAAAAACACCAUAAUCCAGACACAAAGUCUGAAGGUUCGAUAGGAGACAAAGUGAUGAUGGCAGGGAAGGUAAAUGCAUUGCAACGAAAUCUAGAACUCUGAGUUCAGUCAUCCCAAUAAAAAAGUUAUUAGGAAUUUGUUGGACAGACAGAUCCUCAGUAGCCAUAUGGAGAAGCUUAAGUUGCGGGCAUUCCAAACCUUCAAGAAGUUCAUCAAUUUUACAAUUAUGUAACGAGAUUGCAGGGCAACGCUUUAGUGCUUCCUUAUCUGACAAUCCCCUCGUUUCUUAUUGACAAUUAGUACAAGGAUCCCUUUUAAAUAGAGCAAUUAUAACAGAAAAAGAAACUAGUUAAGAGCUAAUAUUUGACAGCUAUCAUCUAUAUUUACAUAGGAAACGGAUCCUAAAAUAUCUCUAGGAUUGAGGCUAAAAUCAAGGCCUAAUUUCCAACAGUCUACUACUUCUAAUUAGAAAUUAUUACUUGCUAAAUUAUUUCCAUAAAGGCAAAGCAAUUGCGUGAUUAAAGUUUAGCUAAAUUAGAGAUCAAAGUUUCAUACCAAGCAGUCUGAAAAAAAAAUGCACAGACGAAUCAAAGUUCAACAAAUAAAGAGAAGAAAAGAAUAAGAUGAUACAGCAGAAGGUUAUUGAACGCACCUUUUCACUAAAAAAUGGGGCGGAAGUAUCAAGCUCAUCCUCCAAAAUGACUUCAUUAGACGAUGAACCAAUUGUCAAUGGCGCCUGUUGCCUUUCCGGUGUGUAAGAUUUCUUCAGUAAAGAGCAAAAGCUUCUAAGAUGUGGUAGAGAUUUUAGAGUCAGCUUCCGCAGUUGAGCAAACUCAAGCUUAUCAAUCACAUUGUCUUUGAUAUCAUCUUCUCUAAACAACAGCAAAAAUCUCUUUCAUAUUCUUGCAUGCAAUCACUUCAAUUGUUUGAAGUUGCGGAAGGCUUCUGGCAACGGAAAAUGAGAAGAUAAAGCUCAAUUUAUCACAACUUUUCACCUUUAAGGUUGUUAACUUGCAGAAAGACUCUGCCUUGAGUUUCCCAUGACAGAUCUUCUCCAAAUUAAUCAAAUUGCUUAGAGACAAUGACUCCAAGGCGCGGAAGGCAUCACGAGGUACAUGCUUCACUGAGUCAAUAACAUACAAGAAGUAAGGAUUGUUUUGGAUUUGGGGAUGCUUCAAUUUCGGAAAACCCUCUCUGUCUAAAUCAUAAACGAUAUUCUUCACACCCCGCAUUUCAUCCAAGUAGAGUUCUUCAAUUCCCUUCAUCUGCAUGAAAACAUCAUCCUUCAGCCAAGUGCUGUUAUUGAGUUUGAGUUUCAAUAUUCUGCUAUUUUGAAGCUGAUCAGACCAAUUCCACUCAUCCCCGAUGAAUAUUUUGUACCUUUUCAACUUUUUGGAGAGCAAACCCUUUGGCAGGACGUUAGCAUCUUGAAUUUGAAUUUCUAGAUUCGUCAAAUAAGACAACUGCUUCAACUCAUGAAGACUAGCCUUGCUUCUCACAUUGUUGAGUCCUUCAAUCUCCCAUUCAACGAAGGUAUAACCCAUGUAUAACUCUUCCAAUCGGGACAAGCUGGAUAGGACAUUUGAUGGAAUCACUUUUAGUAGGUUACAAUAGGCUAAAUUUAACAACCUUAGCCUAGUCAAUUGACCGAUUUCUCUUGGAAACUCCUCAAUAUUUGAACCUUGAAAGCUAAGAAUUUCCAGUGUCUUCAGCUCUCCAAUAAUAGAUACAUCUCCAAAAACACCAUAAUCCAGACACAAAGUCUGAAGGUUCGAUAGGAGACAAAGUGAUGAUGGCAGGGAAGGUAAAUGCAUUGCAACGAAAUCUAGAACUCUGAGUUCAGUCAUCCCAAUAAAAAAGUUAUUAGGAAUUUGUUGGACAGACAGAUCCUCAGUAGCCAUAUGGAGAAGCUUAAGUUGCGGGCAUUCCAAACCUUCAAGAAGUUCAUCAAUUUUACAAUUAUGUAACGAGAUUGCAGGGCAACGCUUUAGUGCUUCCUUAUCUGACAAUCCCCUCGGGAAAACCCCAUCAUUCAUUGAAAAAACACCUUGGUCUCUAAAUGCAAUUGAUAUGGCAACAUCCCGAACAACAUCAUGCAUAGAAAAUUCCUCACUAGUAUGACCAUCAAGCAACAAACAAGAAGUUUUGAGUUUAUUGACCAACAUAUAUACUCUAUUCCAUGCCUCUUCAAUUCUAUCUAUUCCCCCAAAUAGACCCAAACCCAUCCCAUAACUCAACAAAUAUUGAAUGGUGGCACUUUGAAUGUGCACCAUUAGACUACAAAGCAAAAAAGUUGACUUGAGUUCCUCACCUUCUAAAUGAUUGUAACUCAGCUCUAUUGUUGAAUAUGCCUCUGCCGGGACUCCUGUAAAGCUCCUUCCUGAAGGCCUUCUUAGUUCCUGCAGCGCAUUCUUCCAUUCGAAUACGCUCUUGUUUCUUAAUGCCCUGGCUAUUGUUACAAUAGCAAUGGGCAAACAUCCACAUGCCUUUGCUACGUCCUUUGCAAUAGACUGCAAAUCCUCAUUUUCAGCAUAAUCACCUGAUAUCUUUUUAAACAGGUUCCAAGCUUCUCUUUCAUUUAAAACUCCAACCAAGAAAUUAUUUUGACAAGACAUCUGGAUUCCUUGCGGUCAUCAGGACUUUACAUCCCUUGUGAUUAUCUCCGAAAGGAAUACCAACUUUCUCAAAAUCAAGACUUGCCCAAAUGUUAUCUAGGAUUACCAGAAUCUUCUUCUCCUUCUUCAAUCUUUCACAUAGUCUCCUUGCUCUUCGAGAUUCGCUCUCCUCAUAAAAUUUCAAACCCAUCUUAUCAGAAAUUUGUCCUUGAAUCUUUUUAAUAUCCGAAAUCUGGGAUACCUCUGCAAACACGACCUCAUCAAAAAGCUUAUUUUCUUGGCCAGCCUAGGAGCUUCCUUCACCAGCUUCGUCUUGCCAACGCCAGCCAUCCCAUACACCCCAAUCAUAUUGACAUUAGGAUUAUUUAACGCAUUCAGUACAUCAUUCAAAGUGGACAUUCUUGAUUCAAAGGCCUCAUAACUUUUGGUAAGUCAUCAAUAUGUCUUCAGGAAUAGUACUGUAUGAAACCUUAUCGAAGUUCCCUUGUUCCUGCACAACUCCAGCAAUCACCACCAUUCCUUGGCCGCUUUCUUGCUAAACUGAUAGCAGGUUGUCAAAUUAGGACACAACCCCCUGAAACAUCGACUGUUUUUUGCUCUCUCCUCAUCUUCAAUUAUCUGCCCUGCCGCAUCCAUGAUCUUGUCGACGUCACUCAGCCACUUCUCAACUUUCUGUUCAAUAUCUUCCCCAUUUCUUUUAGCAUCAUCCACCCUAUGCAGUACACUCUCUCUGGCAACCCUCAGCUUACCAAUUUCAUUCUUGAGAUUCUCAAAGUUGCUCUUGUAGUUGCAUAAGUAAGUAAAUGGCAGAAUCAUGGGAGCAACCAAGUACUCAGAAAUUUUGGCAGCAACAGAAAUAACAAUUUCAACCAUUUUCAACCUCCUUUGUUUUUGUGUUUUCAGUAUCAAAAAAUAGAAUCAAGCAAACCAAACAAAGAAAAACAAUGAAAGCAGUUGCUGGGUAUUCUUGAGAAUGAGAUCAAAAGAUGACAAUAAGAACUUGGGUAACAAGGAGUUAAAGAAUGAACGGUAGUCACCAAUUGGCAGAAAAGAAUAAUACAAACACAGCAAACUCAAGAAAUGCAGGUUCAUAAAAUAUUCAUGUAAUCAUUUAGUAUAUGAUGAUUGGUCAUCUUAUGAUUAGCAACACAGCCACAUAACGUUCUUUGGUUAAUCCACAUAAUGAGUCUUCACAGAAUCACACCGCCCGUUCCCGCUCCCAUAUGCUCCAUAAGACAGGCAACAUUGCUCACCAGAUUAUUUCUAUAUAAUAGAAUAACGGCAAAGAAGUGUGGUUACAUCAAAGCAAAGUGAUUAAAGAUGCUUAACUCAGCUAUAAGUUACUACUUUAAGGUUGAUUAUGACCGACAAAGCAAAGCAUUUUCAUAGAAGUGAUUAUAUUAUUUCACAAAAGCUGUUAUGAUUCCAAACUUUGAUAAUAUUAGUGUAAUGAAAAGCUAUACCCUCCUUUAAAUCGAAUACCCAUUACCAUUGCUCCUCUCUGAAGGAUUGCUAUUAUGUUAUAGAAGUGUGUGCGACUUAAUGAUAACAAGUGGCCCCACUAAUCAAAAAGUAAUUGCAACACAUUUUUGUUUUGCUCCAACACAACAUUGUAUUACUACACAUAAUAAACGCUUCAAGGCUCCAAUUUGUGUUACAUAAUAUGCGAACGUCCACAGAAGAGAAUUAAUCAUAUUACCAGCCCACAUUUUAAUGCUCCUCGUAAUGCCUAAUUCCCUUUUCAAACAUAAAGCUGAAUCAGUAAGGAACUAGAAAUGAGAAAAAGUCUUUGGAAGUGUAUACUCCAUUAUAUUACUUCACAGUAUUUACAAAUGCAUUAUGCUAAUUCCAAAAAAUUAACGUGCAUUUCAAAAAAUAUGGACCAGCAAGAUCGCAAUAUGAAAAAUUAUUGUCCAAAUUAAUACCAAUGGCUACAUGCUAAUCACACACUAAGCUUGGGGCGGUAUUCGGAGUUUAUAAAUGGGGCGGUAAAUUCAUCUAAACAAGCCAUCCUGAUCCUUUCAGGUGUUGCUGGAUUAUCAAGAGGGAACCACCCAGUGUGCCCUGCAUCCGCUCUAGCAGCAGAAAUGGCAUCUUUGAUUGCAAAGAAGACGGAUGAAGCCAGAAAAAAUGGAGGCUCACCAACAGCUUUCGAUGAAUGGAUGGCCUUUACAUUAGGAUGACCCUGCAAUUAUAGAGGACACAACUUAGAAUGCAGAACGAUUUAGAUCCCAUGUAACAAAUGGAUAAAUUUCAUCUUUUUAGUUCAAACUGUUCCUCUCUGAAGUGAUGAUUAACAUGUCUCAGAAGGUAACAGCAUCUGUAUUGGUCUCUGAAUAUGGUGAUGUUAUCCACAUGAAAAUCAUUUCUACUUGUUUCAGAAAGAUAUUGAAAAUACAACCCUUCUUUAAUCUCACAACAAUCGUAUUAAACGUUCACUCAAUACCUCAAAAGAAUAAGCUCGUUUUCCUGUUUUCUUUCUUUGCUUUUUCUUUCCAGCACCCAAAAAUGCUAUGACCAUUUUUAAGUUCAUUUUCUUCAUUAAGUUUACCAGAUGCAACCGGAUUUCAGUCUUACUAUAUAUUUGAGGUGGUGAUGGUCAUGACUACACAUUAAAAUGAAAAUAUUGUGUAAUAAGUCAUAGUUGGUGUGCAUGUGAGUACACUUGAGAAUGUAUGCAGUUGGUUGUAAAUAUACCUUCAAUAGUGAAACAUUGAAUUUCAAGGGGACGUCAUUUAAAGAUGGAAUUUUGUAACUUCCAGGUCCGCAUGUGUACAAACAGCCAGGUGGGAUCCACUUAUGAGCCGCAUCUCCCCACUUCAGUUCCUCCAACGCUAACCAACCCAGACCUUGUAUAAAUGCUCCUUCAAUCUGAAUUAAGAGUUCAGAAUGAAAAAUUAAGAAGUAUUGGCAUAUAAUGGACUUGCACAAAUAGCCUAGAUUUCUAUCUAUCAAACAUAUAUAAAAGUUAAGCUAGGAAGUAAGUGCCAAAACUUAAAAGAUAGGAGGUAAGUGUCAAAACUAAAAAGAUUAUCUAGCUCUAACAAAUUCCAGCAUAUCCUGCCAACAUCUUCUAUGUUUUUUUAUAUCCUAAUCGUACCUUCAUCCAUUUCUCAUAAAUCCACCACAUAUUCUAUUCUUUAACAGUGGCUACCAAGAUAAACAUGAAUUCAUAAAUUUAUCCAUACUCCAUAUGGGCUAUGAGUUAUCAACCUAUAAGAACCAAAAGCCUUCUGCGUAUCAUUUUUUUUUUCACCCCCUCAUAAAUGGAAUAGCAAAGUAUAGUUUUAUGCACCAAUUCUAGUUUGAUGCAAAACUGUAUCAACAUUCCAUCCUAAAUAAAAGUACACGGAGUACUAAAUUACUUAUUGAGAUCAUUACAGCAACAAAAACAUUUCCGAGGAAAAGCCAUCAGACAUUAUACUGUGCAAGAAAACUAUUAGAAGUAUAAAUCAUGUAAUUCAUAAAGUUUUAUGAAGUUCAGAUCAUUGGAAAAAUAAAAACAGAAAAGAAAAAGCACCUGUCCUACAUCUAUGGCUGGAUUCAAUGAAUAUCCAAGAUCUAAGAUAACAUUUGCCAUCCUUGUGUGGAAAUCUCCAGUCAAUGUGUCAAUCUCAACCUCAGCAAAUGCAGCCCCAUAGGUGAAAUAUCUAAAUGGGUUUCCUUUACCAGUUAUCCAAUCAAAGUCAAUCUCUGGUGUAAUGUAAAAUCCAUGAGCAGAAAGGUCUAUACGUUGAACAUAACAUGCACUUGCGAGCUGAGAAUAUUGCAAAACAUAAUAAUUUUCUGAGUACUAGAUAGAUGAAAAUAACUGUUACUAUCAGAAGAAAAAUAAAGCUGCAGGAAUGAACUAUUAACAGAAGUGAACCUCAGCAAAUGAGUUGAAAUUAUGCUUAGAAGCAAUUGGUUCCAUCCGAGCUUUAAUCUGCUCACAUGCAUCCAAAACUGCAGCUCCAUAAAUAUCAGAACUUGCAGAGGCAGCUGUUGGCGAUGCAUUAGGAACCUAAUUUAUUUUGGCAAAUGCAAAUACAACAAGAUAUAAGAAUGGGCAGCUACCAGGGUACUAGAAACUAAUUCAAGGAACAGACCAGUGCAUAACAGAAAGAGAAAAGGUUUAAUACAACAAAAAGGGAUACUUCUCUUAAAAUGCAAGCAUUAAAGUGCACAGGAAACUUAUUAAGUGAAAAUCCAAAGAAUCAAGUAAAAUUUGUCUCUUAUUUCUUGAAAUACUAGCAGUUAAAAUAUAUAAUGGUUAUUAAAAUAAACCAAAAAGAAAAAAGAUCAGAGAUAGUUGUUAGAACGUCGUUAAGUUGAUUUGGAGAGGAUUUAUCUAGCGUAAACAAUUGUUGGCAGUAUAUUUUCAGUAUGUUCUCAAAUUUCUUGCUUACGGCUAUUCAUAUUGGCUUCAAUAUAGUUGGAGUAUUGUUCUCUCGCAGAGAAAAUUGAGCAACUAGUUCAACAUUAUCUUAACAUUACACCUGAGAUUGGCUUAGUUUUAGACACGCCCCUAGCUGCUUUAGCCUAAUAGGAGGAAAAUGACUUUUAUCUGUUAUUGAAGCUAAUGAACACUCUCAGAUGAAAUAUGUAAAUGUUUAAAUGUAAUCAUAAAUGCAGAAAAGAGAUCUGACUGGUGUAGAAAACAUCUUAAUUAUAUCAUUCUACUUUCAACGGAAAUUAGCCAGUCAUUUCUGUGAAUAUUGCUCCAUUACCUUGUCAGUGCUCGUCUCUGAUACAAACACAGAACUCAAAGGAAUAUUAAAAGCAGACGCAGCAACUUGAGCAACUUUUGUAUGCAAACCUUGUCCCAUCUCAACACCUCCAUGCGUAACCAAAACAGUACCAUCUGUAUAGACAUGAACAAGAGCACCUGCCUAGAGUUGUAAAGAAGAAAGGUACACAAUCAGAAUCCUCAUCAACAUAAAUAAAUCAUUUCAGAUCAGAAAUAUGAAAAGUAAAAGGAAAUAACCUACAUUAUAACAUAGUGGGCAAAUGGAUAACAAGACAAUAGAAUGAUAAAGGGCAAAUGGCUAACAAGACAAUAGAAUGAUAACCAAUACCUAGUUAAGCAUAGUGACAAAUUAAUUUAACCAAAUGGCCCUUCUAUGCAUUAGCAAAGCAACUAUUGACUUGGCCCAAAAAAAUUUAAGGAUACAGAUUUGCAUAUAUUUCCUCUUUCAAACAUUUUGUUUUCUUUUCCAGAAUAGUCUCUUUGAGUAUUCCUUUCUUAUACAAGUCCCUCACUGCAAAUGAAGAUUUCCAAUUCCAUAUCUGCUUUCUAGUGACUCAAAGACUAAACCAAAAGGGGCAUAGAGCGACAUAGAAUUUAAACAUCAUUAUUGGGAAUACCAAUAAGCUUAACUUUUGGCAUUAAUGGUUGCUCAACAAAGUGACAUGAGUAAUGAAAUUUUUUUUAUUUAAACACACACACACUAGUGAGGCUCGAACUCAGGACUAAGUCCUAGGAAGGCCACUUCUUACCACUAGAUCUAGACCUUGGCCUCGAGCAAUGAAGUUAAAAGUGUCAGAACCUCUUUUCAGAUACAUCUUAACUGCCUCUUCCCCUCAACCUUCUUUACUACUUCGAGCAAAUAUUUCAAUCAUCCUUGGAUAAUAUCAUUUAAGGUAGGUAAUGUCCAAUUUUUUGAUCAAAUAAACGCCAAUGCAAAACAGUACAUGUAUAGUUCCAACAUUACCUGGUUCAUGAGCUUCAAUGUAAAUGAUAUGCCAAAUUUUGUCGGCACCAUAGCAAUACCACGUUUCUUCCAUCGGUUGUUCAGAUUAAAGUUGUCAACUUCUUUGCGAGCAUUCAAGAAGUCACAGGAUAAUUUCAGUUCAUUCCAAAGCGGGAACAGUGUGCAAUGUUGAAGUUGUUGACCAUAAUGCAAAAUUGAUCCUUCACCUUGAAAAUUAAUUUCCUGAAAAUGACAUCAAUUAAGAAACAAAAAGAAAGAUCAGCAAAUGAAAAAUAUAAUAUACUGGAUAAAGACAGUGACUUGACAUGAAAAAUAGCUUAACGAGCUCAUAUAACUUACUCUAAUCUCUUCAGGGCUUUUCCUGACUUCUACAGCAACCCUUUGAAUCCAAUUUUCAGUUAUAAGCAUACCCUGAGGACCGCCAAACCCUCGGAAUGCAGUAUUGCUUGGGAAAUUAGUGAAGCAAACGUUUCCCAUAAUCCUAACAUUUGGUAUCUCAUAGACAUUGUCUGAAUGGAACAUAGCACGCUCAAGGACAGCAAGAGAUAGGUCUAGCGAAUUUCCAGCAUUAUUGUAGAUUUCAAGAUCCAGAGCCAGCACUUUUCCCUCAUUUGUAAAUCCAACCUAAACAUGUUAAUUGCAUCAUUAUUCUGAUACAUUAAUUAAAACUAAUGAUGCAAAGAUAAAUUCACUGAAUGAAAGGUAAACUUAACAACAGAACAUCACAAAUUCGUAGGUUUAAUUUUUUCCAAACAUAAAACUAAAAUGAUAAUAACUUAAAAAAAAAAAAAGUUGAAAGUGUACCAGUGGCAAAGGCUUUCUCUUUUAAACUCUGACUACCCCCAUUUUCUUUUUUCACUAUCUUCCAUUUUAUAACAUAAUAAAACAUGCAAAUAAAUCUUUUGAUUCCAUCAUGCUUUUAAUACACACACACAUAUAUACAUAAAUAUACAUAAAAGCUGUAGUCUAAUCCAGUGUGACUGAAUCAUGAAGGAAUAUUCAUAGUCUAUACUAUGGUCUCUAAAACUUAAUUACUGCAUACAAAAUUGAAACUUUUUUGCCCCUGUUCCACAUACCAACUUGAAGAUUGUUGUUAACAUAGCAGAGAAAGAGCCACAUAUGCAGAACGAAAACAUUAAAGACUAUAUUGUAACCGUCUUAUAUUACUAAUAAACUAAUAUAAGCAUUAUGUAGUUCUAAAUUAAGAAAUAGAAAGACAAGUCAAUGACAAUACACUCCUAAGAACUAACUAAUGAGACACAUGCCUUCAAUUAUAGCUUCAACAAUUACUAACACAGUCAUGCAGUGUAGUAAUUAGAUGUCGAACUCCCAAUUUAUCUGAUAAACAAAACGAUACCUUGUACUUCCCAAGAAAACUAUGGCGUUGCCCAGAUAUCAUCAUGUCUAUAUCUCUGUCUAACGUAAGGUUCACCGGCCGAUUCAGCAAAAAUGAAGGGACAGCAGCCGCAGCUGCAAUGAAAGCUGAUCUCGUCUCCUUCCCGCCAAAUCCACCACCAAUUCUUUUGGUUUUACAAACCACUUUUGACAUUGGAAGACCUAAAACAUGAGAAACAUACUUCUGGUGUUUCUGAGGGGCCUGCAUAAAGGGAACGAAAUUGUGAUAAUUUUAUUACAAGAUAAAGAUCUAUAAGGAACCAUCAUUGUCCACAGCAAUUCUGUGAGAUAUCAAGCAUAGCUGCAAGAACAUGACCACUCUACAUAAGGGAAAAAUAUAUAGAGAUAAACUGCCUAGUGAAAGGCACAAGUUCAACAAAAUAUACAAAGAUUUUAAUGCAAUAAUCGAAUCUCAGUUGUGAAACUUCGCCAUUUUUCAACAGCAAAUUCAAAUGCUUUCCUACUAAGAAAUAGAAACUCGGAAGUUCAUGAAGUUCUAUCAGAAUAACAAAAUGGACUAGAAUAACUAAAUAAUCACAAGACAACCCAAAGAAUACGAAUAUUGCUAUCCAGAAUUGGCAGAUUUUGAAAAACAGCAGGACAUGAGACACUGACCACAGAUUCGAAAUAAAUGCAAGGGAGUGAAAAGCAGGAGAGACAUGGAAGGCUGAGUUUUGAACCAAUCUCAAGCCAGAAUUUUGAAGCUCAAUGAGUCUGGAGUUAAACAUUUUCAAUCAAGCUGUGCACAUUUGCAACACCAUUUUCAAAGGCUGGAACUUACUUGAGUGGAAGAAAUCAUAUGAACUUCGUUGCCGUGAUCCAUUGUCCAAACCACACUGCUAUGUGGCUCUAGGUAAAAAUGUUCUUGACCACCCACACGAACUUCUCCCUCUAUAAUUUUGUCACAUUGACCAGACUGAAAACAGAUAUCCACAUCCCCCUUUCUGAAACACCUCUCCGUGUUAGGAUGGAAACUUUUAGCAUCAAUGGCUUCUUGUAUUGAUAAGAUUGCAGGGAGCUCUUCAUACUCAACCUGAACUUUUCUUGAUGCUAGUUUUGCUUCUUCAUGAGUUUCUGCAACAACAACUCCUAUGACCUGCAGGUAAUACAUACAUAAUGGGAAAACCCCAUUAGAUAACUCAUCUGCAUUGUAAAUAGCAUAGACAAUGAGUUCAUUUCGUUUUUAACAGAAUUAAUGUUACAGUCAUCUUUAGGAUUUUAUGAAGUGAUGCUACCAUGAAUUUUCACUAUAAAGAUAAUGACAGGGCCAACUUUCACCAGAAUUAAUAUUUUACCAUCAAUAGCUCUUUUAAACACUAGAAGACAUCUUGAAGGGGUUGUAAAGCACAGUACUAAGAAAUCAAAACACACACACACACAGGGAGAGAGAAAUCUUCAUAACCUGACCCACACAAGUGACAACCUCUGACGCAAAUAGCUCCUCGUCGGCAACGACCGGCCCAAUUCUAUUAUCACCUUGCACAUCUUCAGCAAAAAAUAUGCCAACAAACCCAGGAGAAGACCUGGCUCCUGAAUCAUCUAUUGAAAGUAUCCGCGCAUGAGGUCUUCUGCUUAAUACUAGUGCAGCAUGCAAACAAUUAGGAGGCAUUGGUGUAUCAUCAGUGUAUUCUGCCUCCCCUGUAACCUACAGAAAAUUAUCGUAAAAACAAAGUCAUUAAGAUAAAGUAUAUUACAGAACGGUAAGCAAAAAUCAAAAUCUGCAAGCAAUUCAGGAUAAAGACUAGGAAAUAUUGUCCUAGCAACCAAAAGAAGAUUAUCCAACAGAUAUCAUUGGUGUCCGCUACCCAAACUCGAAAAAUCUCAUCAGUGAGAGCAAUCAUCAUUAAAAAAAAAAAAAAAGUUACAACAAAGAUAUUAUGUCAGCAUGAUAUUGAAUAAGUUAGGGAACUGUUACCAGAGGUCCGUAUAAGCAAAUAAAUGAUUUGAUUUGUAAUAAUCUUAAGGAAGAAAAAAAGGCGGACAAGGAUUACAAUGGUCAACCAUCUAGAUUCAACUAACGCAUGGCUGAUGUCAGUUGAGACUCAAGUUAAGUCUCUCAUUUGUCAUGUACUCCGCACACUGCUGAAGGGAAACUAUUUCCCAUUGUAUGUUGAAGCAUCAAGACAUCAAAAAGAGAGAAGGGAUCUCAUAAGUGCUCAUGCUUGCAAACGUGCACAGAGACAUAUUCUCUAUCAGAGGAAAACCAGAAUGCAUGAAGUCUUGCAAUGAAAAUGGUUUAAUAUUUGUUGUAAAUAAGAAGCAUCUAAAAGCAGAAGACUCUAAGUACUUAUACACACACACACACACACACAUAUAUAUAUAGACAUUUAGGGAAGGUAGCCACCAUAAAAGUUAAUACCAUAUCCUAUAAUAAAAAGUACACAAUUUUAACAUAGAAUUAAUAUAAUACACAAAAAGAAUGAACAUCAACCUCCAAUAUCUAACAAAAACCAAAAUAUUGCGAGACUGGCAUACCUGAAGUCUGGAUGAAAGAUGAACCUCAGGGGAGCCCACAGAUGUCCCAUGUUUUGUAAUUUCAUAGUCCUGAUUACCUAUAAUUGACGGUCGAUGAAAUGACUGCAUAGCUGACAAAUGAGUUGACGGUACACUUUCCUUAAUGGAAUUCUUCCCUUCCAUUUGAUGAGAAACCCAUAAGAAAAACUUGAAAAAGAAACUAAGAGUUAAAGAUUUCCGAAAAUCCACCAUCCCACCAGGAGCAUCUUCCUUAAGAAUUAUAUCUGUUUGUAAGAUUUUCAAAGCAUUCUGCAAAAGCUCCUGACUCCAACUCUUACCUACGAUAAAUGUUUUUGUUUUCUUUGCAGAAAGAGAGAGAGGAGCCACCCCACCAUAAACAAGCAAUGCAUCUGAAACAACCCAUUCUUCAUCCUUUUCCUCAAGAUAGACACGCAUUCCAGCAUUCACAAGUGCAAUAUCAUCAUCCCUCCGAUGAGCCUGCUUAAAUUCCUUUACAAACUCAAAAGGCCUAGUCCAGGGCAAAAAUAUUGAGAGUAAAAUUUCACCACUUGUGAGAUCCACUUUACGAUAACCCAGGAAGAAUUCUUCAGCCAUGGUCGUCCUAAUGUUCCCUUUGCAGUCAACAAUAUGAAAUUUUGCUCCUGAAGCCAUCCAGAGAGGAUUCAAGUCCGAUAUUGGACUAGCCGUACAAAUAUUUCCUCCAACAGAUGCAACAUUCUUUAUCUGUGUGCCAGCAAACCACUUUAUUUGCUCAAUGAAAGCUUUGCAUGAUGAUGUUUCAUGAGCAGGUCGCUCUGUUACAACCUUUCUAAACAUUUUCAAGAGUUCAGUCAGUCUCACCGCUGCACCUAUCUCCAAGCCAUCGUCCUUGACAUUCAACACAUUGAGUUCGGGCACAUGUGUAACAGAGAUCAAAACCUGAUACUGCAUCCUCUUCAAUCUCAUCUCAAUCCCAACCUCAGUAUUUCCAACCAAUAACUUUGAAUCUGGGUAUUUUGAUUUUAAUUCAAGUAAAUGCUGAAGUUUUAAGGGGCGAUACCACUUAAGCCCUCCAAAUCCACUCAAAUUCAAAGGAUUUGAUUUCCUCAACAACAACUCUGGAGGGAAAAUAAGCUCCUUUUCUGUGUAAGUACUUCCAUCUAUCUCACUAUAAGAGACAGGUUCAUAUGUCUUCCCACAAGCCACACUUUUUUCACAGGUGUCUGCAUUGCUUACAUUUUUCAUUCCACAUGAACAGGGUUUGCCAGUUGAAGGGCAAACAAACUCACCUUCUUUAAGACUCAUUGAAGACAUGUUGGUAUAUAAUGCAUCAUUAGUUUUAGCAAAAACCCGGAAUGCAUCAACAAUUGGUCUGUAACCUGUACACCGGCAUAAAUUUCCAGCAAGGGAUUCUUCAAUUUGCUCUUCAGUAGGCGGUGUCUGACUUGAUCUCAAUAGAGAAUACAUAGACAUAAUAAAACCAGGGGUGCAAAAGCCACAUUGAGACCCAUGAGAUCGUACCAGCGAUUCCUGCAGAACGUAACGGAGAUCCAGGGAAGUCAAUAACUUAUUUGCACUGCAAAAAAUGAGUAAAACAAGAAAUAAAUAAAGAAACAAAAAGCUAGCAAAGUUUCCAAAGAGAAUUAAUGAUUCUCCAAAUCCAGGGUCACAAUAAUUAUAAUUAAUACCAACAAAAACUGCCAAGCAAUACAAAAUGAAAAGCACAAAAGCAUUGUGUAUUACUUGAAUUGGAUGCAAGCCAUGUUUCCGGUUUCCAACUCCCUCCACUGUAAUCACAUGCAUCCCUUCUAAGGAGUAGAGAGGAGCCAAGCAUGCAUUGACAGCACAGUGCCUGAAAUAAUUUUCCACAAUGAUAUUUUCAUUUUGGUUUUUACACAUGGUAGAAUGUAAGAGAGAGGAAAUGAGGAGAAACUCACACACAUUUCUUCGAUUUUUUAUCAUAACGAGAAACCAUCACAGUGCAAGCCCCGCAACCACCUUCACCGCAACCAAGUUUUGUUCCCGUCAGACCAAUAUCUAUGAUACCAGACAAAGACCAAAUUAGAUUCCCUCAACCAAUGAAAGAUUUGAAAAAAGGAAACAACCAUGUGAUAAUCCUAUCAGCUGAAUUAGGGGAAACUUGAAAAUUUAAGACUUUGCAGCAAAAAAAAAAUAAAACAUAAAAAAACAUCACUGAGCUCAAACAUGUUAUUAGACUAAGUUGCUGAGAGUGUAGAAUCAAAGUGGAACUUGAAAGAAAACGGGAGGAGUUUACUAAUUCAUAAUAAAACGAAGUUCAAAAUAUAAUAUCCAUCCCCACUCAUCACAUGUUUCAGCAGCCAAAUGGAGCACAAACAUCUUGAUCAACUGCGAAUAAACUAGCUUUGAAUCACAAACUUCACAAACCUAUAAUUGGUCCUUGAAAAAAGACAUUAAAAAAGAUAUUCAAACACAAGAAUUAAGCCUUGCCCCCAUAUUUUAUACCCAUUUCAGCUGACUUAAAAUUAAAAGUGCAGUCUCUCUUUCCCUCCCUCUCUUUUAAGUAAAACUGAAACACACUCCAAAAAUCAAUUCCAAUUUAUAAAAGGAACAAGGAUUGAUUUAUUAAGCUCAACCCACAUCAUCAAUAAAAGGACACAACUUGGUUGUGGUGACCUUAAAUUGAAAACACAACAUAAAUCAAAUCAUUCAAAACUAAGCCGAACUCACAUGAUAUCAAACUUAGCUAAGGUGAAUUAACAAUCAGACACCUACUUAACCUCCGCUUCUCCUAAUUCUAUUCUUACAAGAAACCAUACAAAUUUCAGAAACUCAGUCCAGUCCAAAAUCAAAAGCAAAACUAACAAAGUUUGUUGAUUGAUUGAUAGAUAGAUUGAUCCUAACCCGCAAAAUCUUUAAGCUUGAGUGGGUCUGAGUGUAAACAAAUUUUCUACUCAACCAAACAAAAGUCGCAUUACCUCUAAGAUACUCGAGGAGAGUCAAGUGAGCCAAGCCAUCAGGCAACACCUUACGAAGUCCAUUAACGUACAAAAUUGCUUCCUUUGUCCAUCCCUCACCCAUUUGCUCCAUUUCCUCUUCAUUCUUCAGCGACCCCAUGUUUGACUCUCAACCAAAAAACACAAAUUUUCCAACAACCCGGACAAGAAAACAAAAGUACUGAACCAAAUAAUAUUAUUCCCAAUCAAACAAACCCUUAAUUGGAAUCAGAUUCUGUAUCGGAUCCAACAGUGAUGAAAGGGAAUAAAAUAAUAAAUGUGGAAGAUUUGUUUAUGCCAACGGCGAAGUGUUGCACACGAGUUUUGCUGAAAUGGAAAUGUAUAUUUUAUUUAUUUCGAUAUACACAUGAACGCAUUCAAUGGAAAUGGAAAUGGAAAUGGAAACGGAUAAGAUUGAUAUUCCUUAAUGAGUUAAAUGGUCUGGACUUUUUAAAGAAAUGCUGAUGUAAUUGAAAAGGCCAAAAUUUUACGACAUCGAGUGAUAGAUCUCGUGAUUGAGGCGACAAGUCCAAGUUGUACUUUGGUUCGGUUUUCAACUCUUUUAAAGUAAAUCUGGAUGGAGGGCGGGCGGACAUUAGCUUUUGUUAGUUGGGGAAAUGAAAGAUUGCAACUUAGCCCCUACUGUUUGAAGCUUACGCCAAGUAGCCCCUACCUGUCGGUCUGCACGCGGAAAAUUCUGAACCACAUCGUAAUAUAUAACACGUCUACAACGACCAUAUCGUGGACAGAACUCUCAAGUGUAACAUAACAGCCCAAACAAUCACAUAACCAGCAAAUCAAAUGUAGACACGUAUGUACGACGGGGUUGAUUGUCGGGGAUCAUCAUGUAAAGCUGGUAAAGGCGGUUGCUUUUUGUAAAAGCCUUGGGCUUCUUUCUUUAUUGAUAUUAUUUUUCUCUCUCUAUCAAAACUCAAAACCGAACCACAACGUUGAAAUGAAUGUACAAGCAAUAAUAAUAACAAUAAUAAUACUAAUAAUUUAAAAAAAAAAAAAACGGAGGCGGUGGGGGCCUAAAGCUCAGACGCCAAGUAAGUAAGCAAGCAAGAAGAGAGAAGAGAGAAGAGAGAAGAGAGAAGAGGUGACGUCACUCAAGUUGAUUGGACAGUGCUGUGCAGGCCGGCAGAGAAAAAAAAACGUGUUAAAAAUGGAGUAAUUACGAGUAAGCAUGACAAAAAUAAAUUCUAAAUGAAUUGGAUCAAAAUUUAACUGAUUUUGCCAUCAAAAAAAUUCAACUGAUGUAAUGUAUUGAGUUAUGCUAAAUGGACAUAAGGAUGAGCAUAGGAUGAUAGAAACAAAAUUGUUGCUCAUUAAUCGGUAACUAUCUCUCUUUUAUUACAUUCAAAUAAAAUUAAUUUUUGGAUGUAUUUUAUAUAUUUAAAUUGUUAAAAAAAAUUAAUUUAAAUUGUUAGAAAGUUAAUGGAUUAAAUAUUUACUGGAUAAAAAUUUUAAUUAUUUAUUCUUAAUAAAAUGUUAAUUAUUUUUUAGAAAUGGGGAAUUUAGAAAAAUGAUAAUUCAGUUGAAGAGUUACAAGAAACUGGAGCCAACAAUGUAAUUGAAAAUGUGCAAUCGAAAAAGCAUGACCCAACUCUUGGGAUGUUAUUUAAUAGUCAUGAAAAAAAAAUGUUUACAUCUUACAAAGCCUAUAGUAAAUAAGAAGGAUUUUUUGUGAGGUUGAAAACUAGUACGAAACGGAAUGAUGUGAUUAUAAAAUAUGCGACAUUUACAUAUGGUCGUAACGGCAAGUUAGAAAGUAAAUUUGUCAAUGUGUUGAAGCCAAAACCUAAUGUGAAAAAUGAUCAUGAUGCUAAAAUUAUAGGUUAUCUAAAUGAAGAUGGAAAAUGGGUUAUUCAAAUUUUAAACUUUCAACACAACCAUGAAUUGAGUCCAGACAAAGUUAUGUAUUUCUCUUGCAACUGCAGAAUUAGUGCAAGUGCAAAAAACUGAUUCGAAAUGAACGAUUGUAUGGAAAUUAAAAUUGCCGAAAAUUUCAAUUCGAUUGUUGUUGAAGCCGGUGGAAUGAAAAUGUCUCGUUCUUAGAAAGAAAUCUUGUUAACAAAGAAAAUCAAUUAUAGUUUGGAGAAGGAGAUGCUAUGGCGAUUUUAAAGUGCUUUUAAAAAAAGUAAGCAAAAUAUAAUUUUUUUUUUUUUUUAACAUUGAUUUGGAUGAGCAUGAUUGAUUUAAAAAUGUAUUUUGAGCAAAUAUGAGGAGUAAGACAGCUAUUUGACACCACAUAUCUUAGCACCAAGUAUGACAUGCCAUUUGCUUUCUUUGUUAGAGUUAAUCACCAUAGUCAAUAUAUUUUAUUAGGAUGUAGAUUGAUUUCAUAUGAGGAUUAAGAGACAUUUACAUAGUUAUUGUGUAUAAAUUGAUUAAUCUAGAGCUCAAUAUCCAUGUAUUCUUCUAUGUAUAAUCAUUUCAAAAUUCAAUAUAAAUUUUUAUUUGUUUUAUUUACGCAAUUUAAAUUAAACAUGUUACAGGUAAUAGAAUUUAUAAGCCAAAGGAAUGCUUCUUCCAUAGAUUUAUAUAAGAGAAUGACGGGUUGACAGUCACUGCAGGAGUAACUUACAAUUGCAACAUGUGAACACAAUCAAACUUAAAGCUAUAAAAAUCCAUGGACUUGCACAUCUACUUUUCUAAUUAUUCUGCGAAGAAGGCUAAAGUUUAACGAGUGAUUCUCAAAUUAUUGUCACGUGAUUUGAACAUUUCAAUGAACACUUAAUUUUCUUUUUGACAAAGCACAAUAAUAACUUACAAAUAUUGCAAUAUUGCAUUCCUACUUGAUAUUAUAAGCUCAAAUUGAUAUUUGCAUUCCUAAUUAUAAAGUAUUGCAUCAACACAAAAAGGCAACAUAUAUGCAAAAUGCAAAACUAACAGGAAUGUGGAACUAAGGAGUGAGAUAAAACAUGAUCAUGGCUCAUAAAGAUUAAAGCAAGAGCAUAUACAAGACAAAACAAAAUUAGAGAUAAGAUGCAAAGUGAAGAGCCAAAUAUUUGGUGUAUUUGAGAGCCGAAAAAUGAAAUAGUUUUACAAUUUGCAGAAUUAUCAAGCUUUACAAUUUGGGUAAAGGCCAUUAGCAAGCUUCUACAAUUUGCUUUGUUACGCAUCAAUACAAUAUUUCCCCAAAUCAAGUUAUCAUACAAAAAUGAUCACAAAUCAUGUAAUUGAUUUUUUUUUUUUAUAGAAUUAUCAUAAAUCACUAAGCCAUUAUAACAUAUAUACAAUAUAUCAGAACUUAUUUAACUAUUUAUACCUCAAUGAUUUUAAAAAUUAUCAUAAAUCUCAUAGAAUUUAUGAUAAUGACUCUAUUCACUGCAAUGACUCUAUUCACUGCAGGGUUAUGGCUUUUGUUCCUUUUUUUUUUUUUAAUAAGAGAUCGUUAGCAGUUGACCGUCGGUGGACAAAAUGGCCUUCUAAUUUUUUUAACAGAGCAGAUGUACAGAGCACUGGGGAAGAAGUGUUGCGAAAUGAGAGGAUAAUAUUUAACUAUAAGACUUGGAGAUUUCCCUGAUUUUUUAUCAUUUUUUAUUUGUUAUUUAUCGUCAGCCCCCAUAAGUUUCGACCAUUAGCACUGGGCACCCACAAGUUUCGACCAUGUGCACCGCGCCCCCAUUUCCGUCAAACUACCGUUAACUUAACUCGAAAAAAGGGUAAAAUGAUAAUUUCAUAUAAGAUUAAAAUAAUAAAUAAAAAACACUCUUUUUUAUCCUUCACUCUUUUUCCUCCUUUUCUCUCUCUCUCUCGUGUUCUUUCUUUUUUCUCUUCUUCUUCUUCGCGUCUUCUUUCUUUCCCUCUUCUUCUUCUUCUUCGCGUCUUUUUUAUUUCACUCUUCUGCUUCUUUCUUCUUCGCCUUCUUCUUCUUCUUCUUUCUUUUUUUUUCUUCUUCUUCUUCUUCUUGCCUUUCACUACUGUUGCCUGCCCGUGUGAUCUGCCGCCGUCUCAAAUCAACAACAACAAAAUGGCACACGCUGCGUGAUCUACCAUCGUUCGAAGCCGCCGACGCCACCGCCUGAAGCAGCCACCGUUCCCACCGCCUCUAUAAUUUAAUUUAGGGUUUUUGAUUUUUAGUCCCUUUUUGUUAAAUUUUCUUGGUUUGGGUUUCUUUUGUAAUAAAAUUUUGGUAUAAUUAUCUUCGGUUUCUUUAUUAUUGGGUUUUGUUUGUUUUGGUGGGAUUUAGGGAAUUAUUUUAUAAUCUACUGAUGAUUUUGUGUUUGAUUUUUUUCUUUUCCUUUGGAAUCACCGAAGUUAAAAAUGGCAGGAAAAUUACAAGUCUUUAAAGAUGUUUCAGUUUUGGGAGAAUUUGGCAACAACGUUACUGCAGAUAUAGAUAGGGCUAAAUUAAGGCUAAGGGUUAUGUAUUUCAGGUAACAAAGCUCCAUGAAAGAAGAGGAAAACAGAGACAGAUGGACUAAGUUUGAGGAGAUUGAUUUAAGAUGAGAGAGUGGAGGGUGACUAAAGCAAAGCAGUAGUAAAGAAUUUAUCCGCAAGUUGUGAUGACCUGGUCUCCAUAAAUUAGAAACUUAAUUAUGAUGAGCCGCAUUUAUCACACACAAUUUGCCUAUUUGAACCUUGGUUUUAUGCAACUAAACACGUAGUGGUCUGAUAUAAGAUAAGAUUAUAAUAAGAUUAACAUUGCACAAAUAGAAAUUACAAUUAGAGGAAGAGCAGAUGAAAUUUAUUAACGUAAACGUGCUUGAACAGUUUUUCAUUCAAUUCGAUGGCAUGCCAUAUUCAGAGGAAUUGGCGGAUCCGAAUAUGCACCACCAGCGGUUUGUUGAAAAAUGAACUUGUUAGCCACCUGAGUGAAGUGAACGCCGUCCCACACAACAUAACCUGAAGGAUCGUCGCACGGCUUCCCCAGUAGCACUUGCUUCCCGUCUGUCAUCUUGCUUCCCCACCGCUCUGUCUCUCAUCUUGAAAGUUUACUGGUUUUACAAUUUUGUUAUGAUAAUGAAUGAAGAAAAAAUCGUUUCAAUAAAAGAUAUUAUUAUAAUUAAAUUUUAUUUUUUAAUGUAAAUUUUAUAAGUUGUAAGUGGUAUUUUUGUAUUUUAAACUCAAUUCAAUUCAAAUUAGGGGUAGUAUGGUCUUUUAAGUUAAUAACAGCUUAACCAGUUAGAAUUAAUUAAUUUUUUGGCGGAAAUGGAGGUGCAGUGCACAUAGUCGAAACUUGUGGGUGCGCGGUGCUAAUGGUCGAAACAUGUGGGGGCUGACGAUAAAUAACCCUUUUUUAAUUGUUAUUUUUAAUAGUUAUUGUAGGCUAAAAGUAAGACAGAAGUGCUACCGAUUUUGUCGUCCUUCCCUCGUCCUUUUCGUCAUUUAGCAUUUUCCAUAUAUAUUUGAUUUGUUUAUUAAAUUAAUCCUAACCAGCUCUUGUCGCACAAUCAACUUAAAACCAAAAUGAAAAGAAUAAAGUUGAUAUCACAUCUAAUGAAGCUACUUUAAGAUAAUUUUCUAUACACUGGUAGCAGAUCAGAUAAUUUUUCAGAUGGGAGGGUAACAUUAUACAGCACACCAACAAAUAAAUGAAAUUCUACAAGUGAACCAAAGUGAAAACAUGGUUCUAAACUGUACUACAAUAGUUACUCAAGAUUCCUCCUCCCCUAAAGCAACAAGUAACUGGAAUCCAAACCCAACCUUCGGAAACGGAUUAGUUGAUCAAUCAGAUAGAUAUAGCUAUUUAAAGUUCUUCCUGGUGCUUCUACCAUGUAUCUUUCGUAUGAAAUAAGCGAUUCACCCAGAGGGUAGCCCACAUUAUUUUCAAAUCUUUUAAGUGUGUCAUUGGCGUUACUGGAGCAGUCAUCAUAGAUCCUAUAAUGUCCUCCUGGGAAAUCACUGAACAAAGGCAACCCUAUUAAUCUUGUUUGAGAAUGUUCGGAAAUGUCAAACCUAGGAAAUUCAUGAAUGGAGCAGCCGACACAAUUACCAGCUCUUCCGAAAUCCUCCCUGACGGAAUUGAAGUAACCACCAACUAUCUUAGGCCUUUUUCUUUGUAUAUUCAAGAAAGAUGUGGUUGAAUUUGUAUGAGGAUAUCUUGAAUACAAUGGAUUCUCUUGAAGAGGCCGAGAUCUUUUGCCAGUAUACUCAUUGCAACUCAUUCCACCAGACUUCUUAUUUCCAGCAGGAAGGAAUCCAAAUAUGAAGGUACUGCACUCUCCCAAGGGGAAGGGCUCAUCACAUCUCGGACCAUCUCCUCUUUUGUUGUUGUAAGCUGGGUAGUCUUCGAUUUUAAAUUCAGAACACCAAAUCAAUGACAAAGAGCUUCCAAUAGCUAGUUCCUUGAUAUUCCAGUUGGAAAAUGGAACAGUUGUUUUGUGGCUUACAUGAACUUCACCACCAUCCCUUAGCAUGCCACUCGAAUUUCUGAAGAAGUCCCGCACAAGACUUCUAUGCAUCCUGCAAUUACCACACGAAACAAUAUGAUAUGAGAUCACUGUAUUGGCACAUAUCAGAGGACUCUGCUUUACCUACGCCUUUUUACUUCAUUUCAUAAUUCUUCCAAGAUACAUAACCAGUCAUUCAAAGCAAAAACUUAUAACAGAAUCCUCCACAAGAAUCAUCCAAAUAGAAAAAAAAAAUCCCUUAAAAUUGAAGUGGAGGUUUCCUUUUCAACUUGUAUCUGAAACUAAAUGAAACUAUGAUUCUUUACCAAUUCAGCAAUUCCCCUCUAGAAACUUCUAUAGCAUAAAUUUAAUCUUUUUCAAGCAAGUUUUAUUAUCUUCAAUGAGGUCAUCUUUUGAAGCAUAACUGUUUAGCUACACUGCUAUGAAACAACUUCAGAAUCUAGAGUAAGCAUUAAGAAUGGCUGGAAUAUCGCAAAGAAAUCUUAUUUUCAAAUCAAUAAUUUAGGAAGUACAGAAAAUCUCUAGAACAAACUAGAGUAAUGGUAUAUCUGAGCUGGAGAUGCUUCAGUAUUUAAUCCACAACUGCCAUUAAAUAAACAUGUGCGAUUACCAAACACUUUAGCUAUUGUACACUCAAACAUUAGGUAGAAGCGUUGCAAUUAUAGGCACAUCCUAAAACAACUCACUCAAUAAGUAGGUGGUUAUCUUCUUUUCCAUAAAAGCCUGCAUGGGGAAAGUUGAAGAUAAUUCGAUCAAACUUCCUCGUUCGCAAAUCAGGAUGAAGCUCCAUUGUAGUUGCAUCAACUCCAUGGAGAAUGCAUGUACCCAACUUCUUUAAAUUGUCCAAAUUUGAUUUUGCUCUCUUGUACUUCUGAAUGACAUCAUCUGAUCAUCCAAAUAUAAAUUAUGGUAGUCGCCACAAUGACCAAUAAACAAGAUAUGAGAAUAAUGUACACAAUAUACGAUGUGAAAAAUCUAUUUAUCAGUUCUCAACGGAGUCACCAUUCCAGCCAUUUUAUCACAAAAGCUUUAAAAAUGAUUGAUUUUCCCUUCAUGUUACAAUUUUUUUUUUUUUCAAAGCAAAACUGAUCAUUGCUUCAAGGAUCAAAGUGGGGAAAGAAGAUUUAUAAAUAGGACAAAUCUGCUCACAACAUAAAAAAAAAUUAAGAUCUUCUCCUGAACUUUAAGCUCAAAAUCUCUUGAUACUUGUAUAUUACUAUUUAUCAUCUAUAAAUAGUUAAAAUUUGUCCCUUUAUUGUUUUAAAUUUUAUUAACAAUCAAUCACUAAUUUGUAUUGAGUCAUAUAAUAACUUAAACAAUAUCUUUAGUGUAGACCAGACCUAUCACCACCGGUUAUAAUUUUAAGACGGACACUUUGAUUAUAGAAAUAAUAAUAAAGAGUGAAUUUAAAAUAAAUGGUAUAGUUUAAUCAGAUGGUCUCAUUAAGUAAAUUCUUAGGGAGAUACUAACCCCCAUAAAAGAAAAACAAAAAAAAAACCCUAAAAACAAAAAAUCCAAACAACCAUCAUACAGUUAUACAAAUACUAAAAAGAGGAAAAUUUUCACCAUAUGAAUCAAGAGAAGAAGCACAGAUGUUAGAAGCAGAGCCAAAAGCCAAAGCUAAACACAACGAAAAGGAAAAAUCUCCUUCGCCCACUAACAGUAUUUGAUGAUUUGAUGAAUAAUGCUUAAUCCAUUUCUCUUCUUUUUCUUCGCAUUGAGAAGCCAUAGCCACUGAGGCCAUAGUGGGUCAGCACUCAGUGUCUUUGACGACAGUGAAAAGUUUUGUGAACGGUUUGCAUGAUUGAACGCUUUAUUUGAGUACAUGACCCACAAGGGACAUAACGAUUGUCCUUGACGUUUGACUAAAAUUACUUGAAUGCCUUCAAAGUUGGAGGAGUUCAGAAGGGUGUUUUGGGAAGAAAAAAAUUUGAAUUUGUUGGAGCUGUUGUUGUCUCAAUCUAUGGCCUGGAACCCAGGCGCCCAGCCCAUCUAAAUGAAUUCAAUUUUCACUUUCAGCAACAUUAAUGGAGUUUAUUAUUUAAACUUUAUUUUACUUUGAAAAUUGGGGAAUUUCCUCUCAAAAAGCUGUUUGUUAUUUUUUUUUUUUUUAAAAAAAGAAUUAUCAAAUAUCGUUACUUCAAGAAAAUGGAAAUAAAUUUUGUUGGAGUUUUGUUGAAAGACUUUUGCCUCUUAAUCAUUUUGCCUAUAAUUAUUGUAUGAAUUUAGACUCUCAAUAAACUCGUAUUUACAAUAUUAAAUGUAAUUUAAAUAACUAAAUGAAAAUUAUGGUGAUUCAACUUUGUAUUACUAGCUUAAAUGUUACAAGUGCUUUCAUACUACAUUACACUCUUUCAAUAGCAACUAAUUAGCUAGGAGUUGUGGUUAUGAAGUAGUUAGUGUCUUGACUGAUAUUGGAAGAAGUCUCUCUGUUGUUGGGUCUUGAUGAGGAGUAAUCUUCAAGGGCGUAGAAUGCUCUGACUCUGAAGAUUGUAUGAGGAUUUGCAUAACACCUACGACAAGGAGCAAGAAAAAUGCAGAAAAUGCAAUAGCUGCCCAUGAGGCAAGGAUUGAAGUCCACUGAAAUAACUUGACAAGGAUGAAGAUAAGAAGGCAUGACCAAGAAACAACAACCUGUUUCAACAACCAAAUGAGAAUAUUUUAGAUGAGAAAAAUGAUUGAAAAUGAUAUAAUAAUUUGAUUUGAUGAAAUUAUUUGUAUGUUAUCUUACAAACAAAGACUUUUUAGGUCGACCAAUGUCUUGACGUUCUUGUAAUCCGAAUGUGUCCCUAGAAAGAUAUUUCUCCAAUAGUGCAUCCUGGUAAGCAAUGCAGAGAGACUUAAUGUAUGAAUCACAAUGGAAAAUAGCAUAGAGUGAUGUUUUCAACUUAGAGCCCUGGAUCAAGCAAAUAAUUUCCCAAUUACCCCCUUGGCAUAGAGAUAUUAAUAUGUUUGGAGAAGCAUGGAUUUUUACAUAAAAAACUUCUGUACCUUAGUCACAAAUACAUCUUUACACCACUGUGCAAUGCCAUCAGCUGUUUUAGGUAGCUCCUCCAUUGAAUGUCGCCUGAUUUCCACAUUUACCUAAAGAAAUGGACAAAUCAGAAGCAUGCAAAUCAUGAACUACAUAGAUCUAGGGGGAUGUUUUCCCUUCUAGCUUGAAUGCCCAUGUGGUCUAUAUAAGAGUUAGGGCGAUUUAUGAAUGCUUUUGGCAUAAAUUUCUUUUGUUUUAACAGCAUCUACAUGAGCAUACAGGUAUAAGCCCUUUAUAUUCCAGAAAAAUGUGUCAUGUACUGGGAGGAAGAGUAAACACCGGAACAUAUUUUGUUGAGUUGUGGAAUUCAAGUAAUAGGGAUUUUCUCAUAAUGGCAUUUGGUAUCAGAUGUGCUGUCUCGGCCUAACACCAUUGAUUGAAUUAAAUACAUCAUCAGUCUAUCAAAAUCAUCUAUUUAAUGUGGGAGUUCGGAUGCUUUACCACAGAGGGUUGUCCUCUAAACAUUCUCACCAUCGUAGGUGGGGGCUGACUUUUGGGAACAGCCACUGUGCAGUCAUAUAUUGCUGGAACAAAUGAGCGCAUAUUAUUUACUGCUGAAACAAAACCCUGAUAACAACACAAAUUAGAAUGAGAAGCAAAACAUGAACAAUCUGCUGCUACUGCCCUUUACAAAUUUCAACUACAUUACCUUUGUACGAGGAAUCAAAACAUUUCUAGGAAUGGGCAGCCCUCUUGAAAGAGCAUACUCUUGAGCUGCUAAAAGUUUUGCCUCUGUAAAACGGGUUCCCUCCACAUACAGAGCCAGCCAGAAUGGCAUGGGAAAAUCUACCAGCCUUUUAAAACCUGACUGCAGAGCAAGACACUGAGAUUAUAUGAAUCAAGCAAAACGUAACUCACAAAAUGCAUCUGUUCUCAAAUGUAUUGAGCUUUACCUUCAAAGUUUGUUCAUCCUUAUUCCACCUUCUUUCCAGAAAGACAUACUCAGAAAACCACAUGGACCAUCCUAUGAACUGCACAGAUUUAAUUGAGAAAAUAAAAGUCAAAAGAAUUUUAGCAACGUUUUCGAUGUUUUACUUCUUGAUCUUUUUCCUAGCAGCCUGGCAUCCCAAUGGACCAUCAACUUUAAUGAUCUACACAAUAUGGUUCUGUCUUUCACUUAAUCAAUGAUGCCAUUCAAAUGUUUCAAAAAUUAGAAAAAGAAUAUUCACUGUUGUGACCUUCACAAACCAAUGCAUAUAAAUUUGGAAGGAAUUAUUAAAUGAGAAUACUGUUCAGAUUUCCAACUCACAGGGAGAUGCUUUGCUUCUUUCUUAAUGAUAGCUAGCGUGCUACCGAGGCAACCUUUGCGCUGUUAAUAGAUUAAAUUCCAGUCAGCUUCUGAAAAGUAACAAAAUAUUACAAAUAAAAGACACUCUUACAGACUUUCAUUGCACUUAGAGAAUACAAAUCUACAAUAAAUCUCUAUGACAAUGCAUAUAUUUCUUGGAAGAGUGGCAGAAAAACUUCGAUUCAAGUAGAUUGACAAAAAUGGACAAAAAUUGCCUAAUUCCAUGAAAAAGAGAAAUUAAAGGGUGAAGAUUGACAGCAUUUACGCUACACUAGGCAAACAUCAUAUCUCCAAACUAAUAAAGUUCACGAAGAUAAGCAACCUGAGCUACAACCCAUCCAACAAGCCAGUCAAUGUCGCUUCUGUGAUUGCAUAUAACAAGUGCAUGUUCUUUACCUAAAACAUUAUGAAAGACAAACUGAAUGUCAAUGCGCAAAAUUAAUUCCAAAUAUUUGCCAGAAUUGCACUAUAACUUAUACUCAAGAACACACAGAAAUAUAUCUUACCCAUCAGUUGGAACGUUUCUGCAUCCGCGUACAAUUCAACCUGCAACAAGCAAACCCGAAGUAUAACCACUGGACCGCAGAAAGUUUAUCAAAAUAUUAUAACUGAAGGAUUUAAGAGAAGUAAUCAAUCAAAAACCUUAAUACAUGCCCACCAAUCAAUGAGCCAUAUAAGCUCCAACCAGAGCAAUUCUACAAUUAUUUUGUUGAUCCGUCUAUAGACACGCUUCGAUGCUGGACGAACAAGGAUGAAAAGAACAGCCUGAUAUCACAAAUAAAUGGUACCAUUUUUUCAUUAUAACCAAAGUUACUCAAACGUAACUCCUGUAAUUUUAAGUUCCACACACCAAAUGGUAAACAUAUCUUUGUAAUAAAAUUAAGAAUCAAGAAAAAAAAAUUGCAAGGAAAAGCAAAAUUAUAAACAAAUGGGCCGUUUUGAAGUACCUGGAUGGAAUUGACAAUGAGACCAGAGAGAAUAAAAAGCAUGCCUAUAGGAACAACUACAAGUGCAGCUGGGAUUGCCAUUAUGGCUUUUAUUAUUAUCACCUAAGAAUUAAUUAAUUAAUCAUUAACCCAACCACUUUCACAUUAGCGUUGCUGCAUAAAUUAAGAAGGAAAUAAGAAGUGGGUAAUUAAUUAAUUUGGCUAUUAGAUAGAUUUGAUCAGAAAUUACAGAAUUUGGAAUUUGGCGCUCGGCAGAAACUAUAAAUAGCGCCAAUUUUAACGUUUGUGCUUGGCAGUUGCAUGCGAGCGAGUCUCCCAUUUUGUUGGGGCAUUUGAGAUGGAUAUUUCGCGCCUUUUGCUCAUUGUGAACAAAACCCACCUCAUAGUUGCUGCCAUUGUUUAGCAGGCAAGGUAACCAAAUAUUCGAUAUCUAUUUAAUUCUUAUUAUUUUUUAUUUUUUAUGUUUGUUCUCUCCACCCAUGCUAUUGGCAAACUUAACAAAAUGAUGACUAAUAUUUUUUUUUUUUUUAUAUUAAUCAUUUUUUUAACUUCUUACUUUUGAGAGAAUUUGAAUUAAUUUGGCCAAUUAAAGAAUAGGAACAAUAAUGGUUUCAAAAUUUAGAUUUCAUUCCGUAAUAAAUUUAAUUGGGAUAGCGAUGGAGGAUUUACAUGUAAGAACCAUUUUACUUAUCCCCAUCUUAUUAUUCAUUUAUUUGUUUUACAGUAAAUUUUUUAUAUAUAAUUUUCAUGAAAUAAAAAUUAAAUGAUUCAAAGAAAACCAUCACUAAUACAUUGUAAAGUAUGAACACUAUUAAAAAAAAUUAAAAAAAAAAAACACCUCUACACAUAUUGGAACGGUAUCUUGAAUCAUAUAAAAAUGUAAAAUAUUUAGACAAAUAAUAGCUUAAAAUAUAUGCAUAUGGGAAUUGAGAUGGGGUGAUGAUUAUCUAUGGAAGAUUUUGUCAUUUCCUUUAAAGAAAGUUAUUUAAAAAAAAAUAGGGAUGGCAAAAAGUAAAUUUGGGCAGAGUUUUGCUUUUAUUUUUUUAAAAUUUAUUUUAAAUUAUUGUAAAUUUGAAAUGAGUUAAUAAUUAAUAAAUUGUUAUAAUCAUAAAUAAAUUAAAGAAAAUGAAUAUUUCAAAGUAAAAUAAUAAAUAAAACAAAUAAAAGCUUAAAAAUUUAAUUUUUUUAAUAUUAGAUUCUCUAAUUAAAGCACUCUCUUAAUUAAUUAACGUAUAAGAGAGAGUUUACUAUUAUAAUUUUAACUUUUUUGAAUCAUUAUUGAUUUAUAAAUUAAAAAUUUAAGUUUUCUUUAAAUGUUAUUUUUUAAUUUUAAUUAUAUUAUUCUAAUUUAUAAUUUUUUUUUAAAUAGUGGACCUGAGCCUGGCCCGAGCUUUUUUUCUUGAGCUCUUGUCAAAAACCCCCAUGCGUGAGGCUGGGCCGAAGCCCGCGGGGCUAGGUCGGUCCCGGACUUUUUUGCCCACCUUAAAAAAAAUUUGGCCAAGCACUAUGGACAAAAUAGUGAUUAUUAUUUAAGAGUGCUGAUGUCUUGAAAUUUAUCUCCCACAUGGUACAAAGUCCAAAUCAAUUUUAGCUCUUACCUUUGCAAGAUUCAAAUUAUAUAAAAAUACUUGAUUGAGUUCUUGAAGGCAAGGUAACUGCAAUAUAGUUUUUAUUUUAAAGAAUUGAUUAGUGAUUACAUAGGGAGGGGUCUACUCUUAAAUAGAGAAAAUUUUCUCUAACACAAAGAUAAUUGAAUGUCUGAGGUCUCGAUGAGGUGACAAUAAUUUGAAAUAUAGUGAUAAAUGAAUAUCUUUCACUGUAGUAACUAAAAAUUCCAAAAAAAACAUAGAAAGUGAAAAAUUGUAACUUUUUGUCGGGAAAACUUGCUUCACAAUGCAAAAUUUUUUUCCAAAACCAAUGGUUUACGAUUGAUUCAAUUUAGAAACAAUUUAAAAAAAUUUACAAGGUAAAUUUUCAAAAUUGAAAUAUUUAAAAUCCAAUUUUCAUAUCAAAAGAAGGGCCCGUGGGCCGGCCAGCCCAGUUCAAUAAAUACGAAAAACCAAACCGAACAGGCGUUUAUAACACAACCUACGGAACAGGAGAGAGAGAAGCAGCAGGAGGAACAAUGGCGACAGCAGGGCCGCAAGGAGGAGGCUACCAUCAGCACCAUCAUCCAAUGACUUUAGAAGAAGUGAGAACGCUCUGGAUUGGUGACUUACAGUACUGGUUCGAUGAGAAUUACCUUAGCUCCUGCUUCGCUCACACCGGCGAGGUUUCUCUCUCUCGCUUUCAUUUUAUUAAAAUUGGAGAGUGGGGUGUAUGCGAUGGCUUGUCGAAAUUUUUUAUCGUUAAUUAGGUCAAGUCAAAGAUUUUACGAGUGUCCAUAUUAUGGAUUGUGGUUGAAUUUAUUGUAGGUGUUUGGAUUUCUCUUGUUGCCAUGAUUCCACUGUUGUUGAUAUGGCUUGCAAAUGACCUAACGCAUUGGAAACUGCUUUUAGGAACUAUUUUAUAGUGCUUUUGCUUCAAAUGUAGCCCGAGUUAUUUUUUAAAGCACUUGGAAGUCGGAGUAGUUCAUAGGUGCUUGUUUCGAAAUGCAUUUGUAGUGUUUUUGCAUCAGUGCUUUUACUUGAUAUGUGGCAAAUGAGUUUAAAAUGAAAUGUAAUGGUUGAAAUUUACUUGUUUGAUUAGAAUUUGUGGCUCUUUAUUUUGUUCUGAACUAGUCUAUCCUCUGCAGGUAGUUUCAAUAAAGAUUAUACGUAACAAGAUCACUGGCCAGCCAGAGGGUUAUGGGUUUGUGGAGUUUGUUUCACAUGCAGCAGCAGAGAGGGUUCUGCAGACUUACAAUGGGACUCCAAUGCCUGGGACUGAACAAAAUUUCAGGUUGAAUUGGGCUUCUUUUGGGAUUGGUGAGAAGCGUCCUGAUGCCGGUCCUGAGCACUCGAUUUUCGUAGGGGAUUUAGCACCUGAUGUUACUGAUUAUCUGUUGCAAGAGACCUUUCGAUCUCAAUAUCCAUCUGUUAGAGGUGCCAAGGUUGUGACUGAUCCAAAUACUGGUCGCUCCAAGGGAUAUGGGUUUGUCAAAUUUUUGGAUGAGAAUGAAAGAAACCGUGCAAUGACUGA